UACUUUUUGAUAGUUGGUUUAACUAGAUUAUUUUGUUAAGGAAAUUUUAUCUUCCUCAUCACUUUUGAAAACAUUAUCUUCCAUGUUGCUCAUGAAAACAUUAUCUUCCUUGUCAUUUUUAGAAACUGCAUCUUCUCCAUCAAUUUUGGAAACUUGAUCUCCCUCAUCAUUUUUGGAAACUUUAUCUUCUUCAUUACUCUUGGAAACUCCAUCUUCUUCACCACUUUUGGAAGCUUUAUAUUCCCUAUCACUUAAGGAAACGUUAUCUUCUUCGUCAAUUUCCGAAAAUUUAUUUCCCUCAUCACAUAAGUGUUUUAGAAAUUUUCUGCUAUUAGGAAUAGUUUCAGCACACUUCUUCUUGAUCAGAUUUCCACGGAAAGUCAUCCAAUCACAUGCUGGAAUCAUCACUUUAUGCAUCUUGCCUACAAUUAUUGAUGAAAGGUAAAAAUGGAGCAUUAUGUCAUAGAAAUAUAAAAUGCAAAAAUAGUGUUAAUGUCUUACCACUAUUUUUAUCAUGGUGAAUCAUUUCAUUAACAGCUUCUACGGUCUCUAGAGCUUCAAAUGGAAUUUCCUUGGGGCCAUUUGGACGUGGAUCGUCUUCAUUAACCACACCUAUUUGUUAAUUUGUAGUUGCUUGUUGAUGUAAAACAAUUUACAAUAAAAUGUAUAUAUAUCAAAAAAAUAACAAUUUGUAGUUGCUUGUUAAUUUGUUAAUCCUCCGUUUUUUUAAGGGAAAUGAGUGUUGGCUAUAUGUAGAUCGGUUGGGAGGUAAGUAAUGUUUAACCAAGAAUUAUUUUAUGCAAAAAUUAAAUUUAAGUUCUUCUAAAAUAUUCGUCCAUGUUGAAACUCAUUGACUACUUGAGUCCAAUUUAUUAGUUAUGUAUAUAUACAAAUUAAUGAUAGACUUGUCUACAUUUCUAAAUGAGCAUUUAUUUUAUUUUUAUUUAAAUGUUGACUAGAAAAUCACACAUAUAUGCGUGACUUAUUGAUUUAUGAGAGUUCGUUUAGAUCAAUGAGGCAAAAUGGUUUCAGCUAAUAUGAUAUCGUUAACUCCAAAUCACCAAGUUUCGAGAUUGGUUCAUCGCGUAAUGGGUUGCAUAAACCUAGUUUACAAUCAUCUCUUUAGCGUAUCUUGUGCUUUGGGAUCUUUUUUUUUAUCUAUUAAAUAAAAUUUUCUUUUUUACUUCUUAAAAAAAUAUAACAAAAUUGUGAUGUUUCUAUGGUUGAGAAAGACACUGUUUUGUUUUCAAUUAUUUAGAGCGCAAAUGCUGAUAGGAAAACUUGCCAGAUUGAAUUUGGGGGUGCAUUGAUAAUGUGGUAGGCCGGAAAAGGAAGGCAUGAAAGAUAAUAAUUAUGCUAACAAAAUACUUUCUCUUAAAAAUCCUGUUCAGCCUAAUGCAACCCCACAAAACUGGUUUGUGAGGUGAAUAUUGUCCCUCACGACCAGCACUAUUGGGCUUGGUUCGUGGGCAUAAAGACAAUUAUUGUUUUGACAUUCAACAUGUCUUAGAAACACAAGUAAAUGACCAAAAAACCUAGCGUCAGUUAACUGCUGCCGGUUUUCUAGCUAUCAAGCCAGCGGUAGUUAACUACCGCUGAGAGUAUUUUCGUACUUUACUUGUGUUUUUAGGAAGUUUUAAAUGUCAAAAAAGCAAUUGUUGGACAUAAAUGAUGGGUAGUCCGAUAGCGGAAACCUGAUAGCAGGUGACCCAAUGGAUCUUGAACCAGGCUCUGAUACCAUCUUAAUCUUAGAAAUCGUGUUUGAGCUUAACACAAUCCUACAAAACCGGCUUGUGAGGUGUGGAUUGCCCCCACUUAUAAUUAUAUUGUCAGACCAUCAGCUAUCCGAUGUGGCACUCUUAAUGCUUUCUAAGACACUAUUUUUAUGAUAGAAAUUCAUGUGGAUCACUCUAAAUAUAUAGGGUUUACAUCAUUUAGCGAAACCGUUUACAUUUUAGUUAAUAGGAGUGUGUUUGAAAGACUGCUAAAAAUGGUAUUGCAAGCACUUUUCAAAAGAUGAUGAACGGGGACAAUAUGAAACAAUCAAAGAGUUCAUAUUUGACUUUUAAAAGCUCAAAGUUACAUUUUGUUUUGAUAGAUAGCUUUUUUAAAAUUUUGUUGUGUCAUAUACACUAAUUUAUUUUAUCAAAAUUAAACUAUACGCUAGAAUGACUCACCAAGAAUAGGAGGUGGAGGCAACGGCGAUUGAGCUAAAACUUGAUAAGAGAGAACAACAAAAAGACCAACAAACACAUACACCUUUGAGUUAGCCAUGCCACUUCUUGGCAACGACAAUGCAAUAAUGUUUGAUAAAGAAUAAUGAAGUAGUCUCUAUAUAUAGGGAAAGAACAUGCUUUAUUGAUGGGGCCAAGAGUCAAGGUUUAUAUUUUAAAUUAAGCAAAAUAAGUGGCAAAAGCAAUCUCUGAAUGAGAUGUAAAUAUCUAUAUGGAAAUUGAAAUUGGAAACGCAACCCUAAAAACCUUUCGAUACUCUUCUUACAUGCCCAUUUAGAUCUCAUUUUAAAAAAUUGCUUCUUGUAGUUGUCUAAUUAAGCCUUUUAAAUAUACUCAAAAUUUUAUUUUAAGGUGUUCUAAAUCCUCACAAAAUUGUCGGAAUCCCUUCUUAGAUUUCAUUGUAUUUAGAUGUGAUGCAGUAACCUUUGCUCAUUUGACAUUGUACUCGAGUUAUACAACAUAUUGUCUCUGAUAAAUGAAUUAGCAUUCACAUUAUUACAUAUUUGAUUUAUGUCAUAAAGUUUCUAAAAAGUUUUAUGUUGCCUCUCGAUUGCCUAACACGACAUUCUCUUUUUAUCCAGACUUGAGCAUUUCAUUGGAAUAUAUCCAUAUGACAUCCACCCCGGUUAUUCCGUCGACAUGUCAUGCGCUUCACAGUUCAUUCGCAACAAGUUAUCAGACUAUAAAACCUACUUUGAUUGUCUAGGUUAGACGACAUGAUCUUCAACCCAUAUAAUGAUCAUCGUUGGAGGCUCCAUUCGAUAAUAUUUGUUAGUAUUUUAUGUUGGAUAAAGUGCUUAGGCAGUAUGGUCGUACAUAGACCAUUCUAAUGAAUCUUUCCAUCGUACUAGCAAUUUAGGGGUGUAUGUGGGUUGUGUCAACCAAAAAAAUUGAUCGAACCCAACCAAAAAAAAAAAAACUCAGAAAUGUGGGUUGGGCUGGGUAAUUGGGUGGGUAUUGUUUAAAAAAAAUGAAAAUUCCAUAAAAAAUAACGGGUUUCAGGUAAAACCAUACCCAAACCCAAAUAACUCACUUACCCAACAAUGCCAACAUUUUUAUUUUUAUUUUCACAUGGAAGAAGAAGAAGAAUACCAAAUGUUUUGGUCAUAAAUCAAGUCUACUUUCGAAAAUUAACACAAGACAACCUCUAUAUCAAAAAUCAAAACAUGCUAAAGUUACAAAUUAGUAUGUUGCACUUUUUGAUUAAUUUGAUACUAAUGCAAUUUUAUGUCAUGCAACUUUAUUUUGUCACAAGUAAUUUAUGAUGAAACUUAUUAUUUGACAUUAUCAUUUGUUAUUUUAUGACGCUAAAAUAUAAUGAAAAUAUGUUGCACAAUUUUUUUAAGAAAAUAAAAAAGUUGAGGAAUUUUUAUGGAAAAAAUACAAGGACUCACCAUUUAGUCAUUUAAUAUUAUUAACAGAAAAAGAGAAACAUAAUUUGGGAACCCACUACUCAAUCGAACUCAAAUCGAAAAUGAGUGGGUUUGCCCAAAGUACUGAUCCAAUAGUGCAACGAGUGGUUACUUUACCUCUCCUAAAACAAAGUAACUUAUAAGAUUUCGGUCUUGGGUUUGACCAAACCCAACUCAAAUAGACUCACAUACACACCUACUAUUAAUGUCUUCCAAGUAGAUCAGACUUUCCAAGAUUAUUUGAUGCAAGUUAUAUUCUUGGUGAACGUAACCAGUGGUAGCACAUAUCAGGUCACAUUUCUUGGUUCUAUAGGGUAUCUCAUCCGAAAGUGGUGCCCUCAAUCUAGGGAGAACCACCUUGGCCAACAAAUGUUGAGGUUGUAAUAUAUGAGGAGUAUGGGAUAGAUACUAUGGAUACAUUCCAGCAGAUCAUGAGUGUUAGGACCAUUGCCUUAGGUGAUAUGCCAAAUGGUAGCUCAUAUGAUGACCUAUAUGUGUAUCUUGAACUGUUUCCAAAUAAAACAUUGUCGGACACUCAAAUAUCAAGUUGAACGAAGAAGUAGGACUUUCUGAUGAUUAUUUUUACAUUUUAAUUUUUUUUGGUAUCACCUAAAUGAUGAAUGUAAUUGGUAUUGUAAUACCUAAGAAAAUAUUUUUCCCUUUGGAAUAGAUUACUUACAAAUUUAUGCAAUUUGAAUGAUAAUUUCAUUUUAAAUGUUGCAUGAGUGUUUAAAAGUUUUUAUGUGUGCGCCCAAUUGCUAAUCAAGUUAAUUCUGUGGUUGAUUGUUUGUACUGUUCAUGUAUGAAUGAGUGCUUGACAGUGUAUAAGUUUGGGUGCCGUUUAAUUUGGGAAAUGAGACUUUUUUCCUACCAUGGGAAAGGUAUUUUAAACCAUUAGAUUAAAAGGGAACAUUGAUCUUACUAUAGACUGUCCACACUAUAUGUUUUUUUCUCACUGUCAUCAACCUCUGAAUGUUAUUGACCCGCGUAGCUUUCUGUUUCCAUUCCUGAAAUCAUUGUUUUCCUUUCUUAUUUGAUAUGUCUGGUUUUUCAAACCAGAAGCUACUUAAGGAUUGAUAAGAAAAACAUUAAGAUCUACUUAAAGAUUGCUAACUCGUUCAAUGACCACCAAAUAAAUAUCCUGAUUAGACUUCUAAAUAGACAUAGAACAAGCUUGGAUUGGUGAAUGUUAUUGCUACAUGAUGAAUCACAUUACCUGAGUAAAAAAAAUAUUUGGAUAUUUGUUUGUUUGCAUAUAUGAAUACGUUUAAACAUGCUAAAUGCAGAAGUAUCCAACAAAUAUAUUAAUAAUUUUAAGGUUAAAAAGGGUAGUAUUUGUGAAUGAUGUGGAGUCCAGAUGUAGCUCAAAUAAUAAUCAUCUGGAGCAUAAAAGAUUUAGGCUGAAAUCAAUUGUUUAAUGGUGGUUCUUGGAGUCGGUUUUGGUGGUGGGUCUAUUGGUGUCUCAUGAGAGGUUGAAGACAAUGAGAAGAAAGAUAUAGUAUGGACAGCCUAUGAUGAAAUCAAUGUUCCAUUUUAAUCUAAUGAUUUAAAAAAACUUUUUCAUGAUGAAAAAAAAGUCUCCUUUCCCAAAUUAAACGGCACCAUAAGUUUGUGUGCCUGAUUUGGCCAAUUCUUAGUCUCUGCUAUUGUGUUUGCGAUUCUUCAUGCGAAUACAUCCCAACUACUGUUUAUGUGAAUGAUAGUUGAUUGUCGUUUAUGGAAAAAUUUCAAACUACUUUUCAGCAGCGAACAGUAGUUAAUCACUUCUUGGUAGUUUGAGGUUCAUGUGGAAAAUUUUUUAGGCACUUCUAGGUGCCUAAAGAGCAUUAUUCUUACUUGUUUGCAAGAUGAUGGACAUCAUAGAGAAGUGCCUAAAUUUGUGAUUAAGAUUUAAUAAAUUAUACAUAUAUUUUUCUUACAAAAAUUUAUUUAUUAUGUAUUUUUUAUUUAUAUAUAUGAUUCAAAAAGCACCGCAUUGCGGUGUUUGGUAAUCAAGAGUUCUUAGCUCAUACUCUUUUAGACAUGGUAAAACUUAUAGAUUGGUCAUUGAUCAAGUCGAAAGCUAAAAAAAAUUUGGAAAAUGUUAAUGAGUGUCCUAAGGGCACUCUUUAAGGAUUUUAAAUAGUAAAUUUUUAUGGAAAAUUAUGCAUUCAAUGCAUCGGAAUUUAAAGUGUUAAACUUUUUCAAUGAAUAAUUUCUUAAUUGAGAAACAAAAGUGCCCUGAAGAGACUCGUUAACAAAACCCAAAAAAUUUAUAUGUUUCUGUCAAUGAAGUACUCGAUCAUUCAUAUGUUUAGGAGUGGUUUUUGCUGUAACUUAAUUCUAAAUUAUUUUUGUUGCUUGAUUUGGAGACAAUAUUGUCUUUUUGGCAUUUUGAUGACAAAUCAACAUAUGAUAUUUUAUGAUGUUUUUAGUUAUUUUAUUUGCAUUUUAAGAAAAUUUAAAAGUCGUGUAGAGGAGUUGUUAAUGGUUUGAGGGACAUUUUCUAUUGUUUUUGUUCAAGUUAUUGUAAUUCAAUUUCUUCCCUAGUCAUGCAACUACAUAGGUAUUUUGAGUCUUUUUUAUUGAUAAACCAUGUAAUUCAGCAAAACAAGACACCAAGUUGAGGAUUAAGGGAUAUGAAGAAUGAUGAUCAAAGUUACUUAGAAGGAUUUUGAAGAUAAUACAAGUUGGGAAAAAAUUAUCCCAAGUUCCAAGACAUUUUUAGAUGGUAGAAUGCUCGAAAAAAGAAUGAAAAAUUGUAAAAUUCGCCCCCUAGAGGUUGUCCAAUGCGCAUGGAACACGACCAUAUGCGCAUGACACAACCCCGUGGGCUGACUAAUGCACUCUUGCGCUUUCUGAUAGGUAAAAUACACAUUCAGCUUGUUUUCCAAAGAAAAGAGCCCAUAAAUUCUAACUUAACCUAGAAUUAAAGUUGUCUAUAAAUAAAGACCUUUACACACACUUAUAUUGAUUUAGAAAGUUGGUGGUACAAGACAUGGGUCAAGUAUCUGGACCAUCAAGGCAGGGUUUCUUCCUUCAUUUCUACUCUAAUACUUUUGUGUAACAUUUUCUUUCAAUUUUACCCUUAAUUUCAACUUUCUAUUUACCAUUUUAUUCUUACCUUAAAAAUAAAUAACUUAAUGUUAAGGAAAUUAAAAAUACUAGUUUUGCAUUGGAAAUUAUAACUUUUUGACUUUUAGAAAAUUGAAUUCAACACUUUUCACCACUUUUCAACAAAUUAUUUCUAUUUAUGUUAUCUUAACCAAUGCCCAAAGACACUCUUUAACAUUUUCCUUUUUAUGAAUAAAAGAAGAAAGAUGGGGAUGCAAGUCUUUUAUAAAGUAAAUAGGUUUAUUGGGAAUACAAGGUGUUUUCCAACUUAAUACAAUCACGCAACUUAAAAUAAAGUCCCUCAAAUCCUUAUACUAGCCCUAAAUUCAACCUACAUCAUAAAUCAAACAUAGGGUUUCUUUUAUUACAAACCAACUCAUCACAAGGCUCUAAGUAGAAACACUGUAGCAAAAAUAUUGAAUUUAAAAAUAAAAAAAAAACGAAUUCAAAAGAACUCAAUAGUUUUAUGAAAUAAUAUGGUUCAAACUGUCUCCAAAUACCCAAUUUAAACUCAGAUAUUUAAAUUCUAGGAUUUCUAAUGCCUAUAACAAAUACAACCUCCUUUAAAAAUAAUUUCCCAAGACGUGAAUAUUUUUCUCACAACAUCCUUCAUUUUUCAGCAUUUUCAAAAGCCACUUAGUUUAUUCAAACUCCAACACAUCUGUUUUUUUAAUAAAAAAUAAUCCCUCCUGUAAAAGGUUGUCAAAAGGUUUGAUGCAUUUUGAACCCUUUUUAACAAAAAAAUAAUAUCCCUGCCUCUAAGUGGUUGUCAAAGAUUUGUUUCAUUUUCAAACUCUAAAGGGUUCCUUCUAAUUUUUUAAAGAAACAACUUCAAAAAUAGAAGCAACAAGUCUUUUUCUUUAUUUUCCAAGACUUCAAAAAUCUAAUCAAUUUAUAGACUUAUCAAAAAAUUACUCAUUGAGUUCCUUUGAAGAUAAUUUUUUUAAUCCAAGUUACAAAAACAGAUAGGGCCAUUCUUAAGAGACGGGAAAACACAAUAAGAGAGGGUUUGAAUUGUGUUAAUAAUUUUUUAUUUUUUAUUUUACUGUUUUCUUUAUCAAAAUACUUUCCUUCGUUUUAUUUAAGAUUUUAAAUAGAAGGGUUAAUAGAGAGAAGACAUAAAUAACAAUAAUAAAUGAAGACAAUAGCUAGGAUAGAGAAAAAACAUUUGGAUUUUUAUACUAUUUCACAACAACUCUUGCCACAUCUAGUUAUUCCCUUACGGAUAUGUGACGUUUUUCAAACCUUGGCAAAAAAAAGCUUUUAAUCAUUCCUUUUUGUAUUUGUUGUUUCUAUAACCUUUGAUUAUGUAUUUUGCUACUAUGAGUAGCUAAAAAGUUUAUAUUAAUAUCGAAUGAUGAACCUAUAUGCUAUUUUUUAAUCAUGUAAUCUAUGAUGUCCUCUUUUAAUGCAAUUUGAACUAUGUUUAUUCAUUAUACCUUGUAAUUAAUGAUUUUCACUUCAUGGUCAUCUUUGAAUCGAUUAUAAGUUAUAGUUAUCUAAUAACCCAAGGUUUUGUAAUUGGAACUAGGUGUAGUGUUCUCUGAUUAAUUUCUCUAGACAUAGGGAAUUGAUUAUAUAUUGUGGCUAUAGUUUAACGUUCAACAAAUCUUUUGAUAAUAUGAGUUUCACAUAAGAUAUUAAUUACUCCCUCCAUCCUAAAUUGUAUGAUAUUUUUGGCAUUUCACACAUAUUAAGAAAUAUAAUUAAUAUUGUGUGGGAAAGAGAUAUUAUGAGUUGUUUUACAAAAUUGUCUUUAAUAAAUUAUAAGCUUAAUUGCUAUUUUCGUCCCUUAACUAAUUUUUUAGUAUCGCUUUGGUUCCAUAAUUAAUAAAAAGUCCGUUUGAGUCCCUUUAAAUAUGUCUCUGUUACAUAAAUUGGUCCCUUCCGUUAAUUUUAUUAAAAAAACGUUAACUCAAGCACACGUGUCAUUUUUGCAUUGGUUGGAAUUUAUAUUCAUCUUCUUCCUCCUCGCCUUCAUCUUCUUCAACAAAUCUUCAUCCACCUUCAUACAAACCCAGAAAGAAAGAAAAAAAAACUUAAACAACAAAAUUCAUCAAAAAAAACUUUACCUUUACCUUCAAAAACAAAACCAAUUUUCAUGCUACCCACAUAAAAAAUCAUGAAAAAAACCUAGAAUUGAUUCACAUCAAGUUAUUCAAGCAUCUUCACAAUUGUUUUUCAACAUGUUCAUAAUUACAAUCAAUUUUUAUCAUUUCUUUUCAAACAAAAUUCUCUAACUGAUAAUUUCAAAAGAAGUGCUUAGAGACCCAAACUCACUCCAUCCAAAAUUUCCCCAAUCGAAAAUUGAUUUCAGAAUCAUCAUCUAUCAGAGAAAGCCAAAUUGAGUUCAUACCAUAAAUUUUCCCUCUGGAGCCUCCAAAGUCAUUAUUGAUUCUCGUUCCCUCCCAUCUAAUCCAAUUGCUUUCAUCAUUUUCCCCCUAAGGAUUCAAUUUGUUUUAGAUUUGGUUUGGCUAUUUCACGCAAGAGGUGAAGGAAAUGGUGGGUUUCGCAGAGAGUGAAAUAGAGGAAUGGGUAUCAGAUUGGGUUGUUGUUAUUCUUUGUUGUUGUUCACUACUAAAAAAACUAAAUUUAGUGAGGGAAAACGUAAAAUUCCUCUCUAAUUCCGUCACUAAAUUUUGCGACCAAGGAAUUUGUGAGGAAUUUCAUUUUUUCCGUCACUAAUUUCCCUCGCUAAUUUUUCUUUUUCUAGUAGUGGUUGCUGGAUUGUUGUUGUUGUUGUAGGUUGUUAUUGUUGGGUUCUUAUUGUUGUUGUUUGUUCUUGCUGCUGGGUUUUGUUUUUGUUGUUGUUGAUGGUGUUUUUCCUAUUUGCCAGAAAUUGAUGAACCCUAAAAACGUUUUGUUUUCCUAUUGGGUACUGAAAAUGGGUUUUGUUUUUGAAGGAAUAAUGGUAAUGGGUUUAGAUCAGAAAAUGAGUUUUUGUGAAGGAUUGGUGAUAAUGAUUGAAUUUGAAAAUGAGUUUAUUUUUUUCCUCCAGAAAAUAGAGCUUUUUUGUUUCAAUGCUUAAGAAUCAAUUUGUUUUCUUCCAAUUUUAAUUUCAAGGUUCGAUUUUUUUUUUUCUUCAGUUUUUUAAUUUGCUGUUUUUUUUUUUUUUUAUGAAGGUGGAUGAGGAAGAAGAUGAAGAAGUUGAAUUAAGGUGAUGACUUGUACAAACCCUAACAGUUUUUUAAUAAAAUUAACGGAAGGGACUAAGUUAUGUAACAGAGACAUAUUUAAAGGACUCAAACAGACUUUUUAUUAAUUAUGGGACCAAAGCGAUACCAAAAAAUUAGUUAAGGGAUGAAAAUAGUAAUUAAGCUUAAAAUGAAAAAGAUAAAAGAAAGAAUUGAAGGAAGAGAGAGUAAUAAAUAGUUAAGAAUAUAACGGGAAAAAUAACAUUAAUGUUUCAUUGGUAUGGUAAAACGACAUAUAAUUUGAAACAAUUUUUUUUUCUUCCUAAAGCGAUAUACAAUUUGGAAUGGAGAGAGUAGUGUUUUAUAUAUAAAUGGGACCUAAGCCAGGAAAUUAGUCUUGGUCUAUUUUUCUAAACACUUUAAACAUAGGUAUCAAAUUGCUACGAAUUUAGGAUUUAAUAUUACCAAACAAGAACUUAGAGGCGGUUCGGAAAAUCCUAAUCGCCUUUCAACAUUAUGAUCCAAGUCUUUCAAUUUUUAAUUUUUUUUUGACAAAAGAGUAGGUAGCAAAGUGCUAACCUACCAAAAUAUAUUAAGAUGAAAGAGAUGAAACAAUACAAGAUGUAGAGGACCAAGCCAAAACUCCAAUCAAAAAGUAAUAAAUCUAAAGGAUGGCAUCCCUAACUGAUUUUUAAUAAGAUUAGCCCUAAUAAAGCUAGGCAUAUCAUCCCAAAAUGUUAGGGUUUGCAAAGAUAUCCCAUAAUUUGCCAAAGUGUCUGCUACAUCAUUGCCUUCUCUAUAUAUGUGGUGACCAAGAUAAAUCACAAAAUUUCCGCACAUCUUCUAAACAAGAGAAGUUAAGAGAUAAAUUAAGACAAGAUGCUAACCAAGAUCAGAUUCUGAUGGAGUAUUCACAGUUGAAGAACAAAUGGAAUGAGGAUUCUUCAUGUUUGUAACAUAAAUUACAAAUAGAGGGAAAGCUGCAGCCUCUUUGUUUCAAGUUCUCAUCUGUUGGCACUUUGUUGUGCUUCAAUCUCCAAAUGAACAUGGAUUUUGAAGGUGGGAUAUCUACACUCCAUAUCGUUUUGGCCCAAUGAAGCUCUUGAAAUUGAUGAUGUUUGAAAUUAUAUGCCUCCUUGAGACAUAAUUCACCAGAUUGGUCAUGCUUCCAUUGCAAGCUAUCAGGUUGUUCCUCCGCAGGAAUAAUUACUUGUUGAGCCAAAUGCAUUGAGUUGGGGAAAAUUAUGAUUUUUUUCUAGAUUAAUUACGCAAUUUAUUUUGUCUUUCAUGCCAAAAAAACAAAAUAGUCACUUUUUUCUCUUUUUUCAGAUAUGCAUUGUUAAUGACGUAUUUUUUGUUGUUGUUUAGUGCAUGUCAAUUUCAUGGAAAGGUAUUCAAUGUAUUCAAUCAAUCUUUAUUCUAAUUUCUAAUAUAUACCUACCAUUCGGAGUGGAAGUGAUGACAGGAAAUCAUAGAGUUUAAUUUAUAGUGCAAUCUUAGAGUUAAAGCAGUUAGUUUGAAUGUAUUUUAUUCUAGUUUUGAAUGGGAUUCGUUCAAAAGUCAUGAAAAGACAAAAGCAGAAAAAUAACUUUGAAACCAUGGAAAUCCACUGAACCAUACAACUUUACGACAAUGCUAUGCUUUUUGCAAGUUUAUCCUAAGUGAUUCUUGGAGUAUAGUUGUUACAAACGUUUUGGUGAAAAGGAAUGGAGCAAGGAGUGCAGAAGAUAGUGGGAGUCAGCCACUACCUCGCUAUGCGAGCUAUGUGUCACGAAAUCAAGACGAAGUCAUAAGAAUCAACCACUUUCUACCAACGCGCCGCGGAUGUGAACCAAAGACCAAGGUGUUUGCAUUAUUUAUAAUUUGCAUCGUGGCACAACCUUCCUUAAUUUUUAAGGAAACUCAUGUAUAUAUAUAAGACACGCACCUGUGUUAGUGGUUUCAACAACGUCGAUGGAAGGCGGUGGCGGAGAGGAGGAAGGGGCGGUGGUGCAGGGGAAAAAGGAAGCGAUGUAGUCUAACACUCUUUGAGAGAAGAGCUGAUAGAUAGAGCGUUGUUUGUUUUUAAUUACUUAAAUAAAUGAUUAUAUUUUUAAUUUAAAAUCUCAACCCUUAGAUGUUUGUUUGCCAUAUGUCUUGCAUCUAACCCCUGAAUGGAGCAAGAUGUAAAUGGAGCAUACCUGGAAACAUAUACUUUGCAUGCAUUGUAUUUAGUCAAUACUGAUUAAAAAUGUAUUUAUAUUUUAUCAUAUAAUGUUGGGGCGUAUUUUGCUCCAACAACACAAACUACAUUGUUUUUAAAUUACAUAUAAAUAUUUUAGACUCAAAGAUAUGUUGAAUUAUAACACGCAAUAUCUGGGUUAGCAUCUAGUUAAACAUUAAUAAAUUAUACAAAAAUGUUUUAGAUAUGCGUAAAGACAGGAAAUGUUAAUCAACCAAAGUUCCAUUCAUAAUGUUUCAGUAGCAAUUCUCUUGAUAGUACCAAUAGAAAUUGCACAUAUUUUAGCAUAACUAUUUAGUACAUUGCAAUUGUUAAAGUUUAUUCUCCAAUUUCCAAACAGUUAUUAUUGAUAUUUUUGGUACAAGCGUUAUUAUAAAAGAUGGUUAUGUUGUAGUAAUUUGGUUUAGUAUUUUUCAGAGCGCACAUGAUAUUUUGCAACAAAUAGAAUGAGUUCCAUAAUGAAACCUACACACUCCUCUAGUUUGAAUUCAUGAGUGAUACUGCAACCAUGACUUAUGGAUCUAAGCACAUGUUAAAUGUGAGGAGAAAUAGCAACUUUAAAACUACUAAUAGUUUGGUUAAUGGUAUGGCCAAAAAGUAGAAACAUGAGAAACACCUCCCUUGACUUGGAAGACACUCGAAUAUCUACUACUAUCACUCAACUAUACUGUCCUAACUUCAAUCUUAAGGACAUUGUUGAUUUUAAUAGGGGUGAACAUGUGUCAUAUGAUCCAACAAUUAUGAAAAUAAAGCUAGUAGAAAAUGUUAUUUUAACCUUCUAUAUAUAUAACAGGGAGUAAUUAUCCAAAAAUCCUAACUCAAUCGACAAAAAUGUUAAAAUUGGUAGGUCGUACGUUACGAUCAAGGUUUGAAUCUCAACUCCUCCAUUUAUGUGUGUGUUCAUAAUACUAUUGUUAUUUUCUCUAUCUAUUAAAAAAAUAGCAAUGAUUGAUAAGCAAAGGGGAGAAAAAAAUUGAUGACAUUUCUCCUCUCUUCCUUUGAUAGUCUCUUGUAUUUUAGUAUUCUAGUAUUUAUAUUAUAUUCCACGAGUGGAUUAAUUUCAUCUUACUUUUAUAUCUGGUUUUAUUGUAAUUUCAUAUACUCUUUAUUUAAUCCAAAUUGCAUAAUAUCCAUCCAUUCAUUUCUCCACCGUUACCUUUUCAGUCGCAUAUAAAUCCCCAACCCUUACACAUGAUAUUAAAAAACUCCUUAUAGUUGACUAGUCCAUUACCAUCAACAUCAGCCUCUUUGAUAAUCUCAUUCACCUCUUCAUGGGUCACGUUUUUUCCAAGAGUUAUUAUGACAUGACGAAGCUCAGCUGCAGAGAAGAAACCAUCUUGGUCCUUGUCAAAAGCUGAGAUUUGUUUAUCAGUAAGUGGAUUAAUCAUUGGAGAAAGAUUUAUCUCUGCAAAAGAGAAAGAAGAUAAGAGGAGAAGGAUGUGUUUGUGAUAUCGAAUAUUUGGUGAAAUAUAAUUGAAUAUGCAUUAAAUUAUUCAAACAUAUGUAUUUAACUUAGAAAAAUAAAUUAUAGGCUAGAGAUUGAUUUACUUGGAAUAGGAGGCGGAGGAACAUGAAUAUCAGCUGCAACUAGAGAAAAGAUAAUAACAAAAAAAACAAGACAGAGAAAUAAAUACGAUUUUGAAUAAGGCAUAUCACUUUUUUACUAUGAAAUUGAAAUAAUUGAUAAAUAAUAAUAAUAAUAAUAAUGUAGUAGUACAUAUAUAUAGAUAAAAAAUAUGCCUUAUAUAUGGGGUCAAGAGUCAAGUGUAGUUAUUAUUAUAAAAAUUACAAACUAAAAUGUAAAAAACUUAUCUAUGUAGAGUCUGUUUUAUUUGCAUAUGAGAAAUUAUGAAAAAGUACAUUAUAAGACAAACAUAUAUAUAUAUAUAUAUAUAUAUAUAUAUAUAUAUAUAUAUAUAUAUAUAUAUGAAGAAAAAGGCGUACAUGAACUUCUUAAGUGACCCAUAGGAGGGAAGAUCGACACUUAGGCCAACAAGUGUUAUGGUGUACGGGUUAAUAAGAGGGAAACGUGCAUGUGGAAAUUUGAUUGAGUUUCUUCAUUUGAGGAAUUGAGAAGUAAUGCUUUGAUUGUGGGAGAAAAAGCUUCAAGUAAAGUGGCAAAACAUAAGAAAAUGCGUUAUGACAAUCAAAAGACUUUUAUACAAUUUAUGUUUGACACAUAAGAAAAUGUGUUCUGACAAUCAAGAGACUUCCACAAAUAGUUCAAAUGCUCAUGCAUAACAAUGUUGUCUCCUAAAUCUAUGGGUGAUAUUUAUAAUUAUAAAAAGCUAACGGGCAAUAUUUUACCUUAUUGCCUUAUAUAUAUAUAUAUAUAUAUAUAUCACAUUUCUUAUGUAGCCAGGCCACAUUACAACCCUUCAAAGACCUUGGUGAUCUAUGCUUUAAUAUUUUUCAAAAUUGUAUGCUUGGAUGAAUGCAUAACUUAAUCAAGAGGUUAAUAUGAUUGACUGAUGUCAGUUCAAGUCCCCACAUAUUGAUCAUAUUUCAUUAUCUACUUACAACUAAGUGUGUUAGGUGUGAUUCAUUAUUAAUUAUGUUGUUGGAUUGGAAUGCAUGAAUUAAAUUUUGAGUUUUGAAUAAAUUUCAAAUUCAUGAUUUUAUUUCAGAUUUGUGGUAAACAUAAGACUUGCCGGUACAAUUUAGUUGUGAAUCAUGCAUCUCAAAUUUGUUUCAAAAACCAAUUGACUCAUUGGAAAUCUUUGUGAAUCACUUUCUUGCAUUCAAUUACAUAUAUUUUUGAGGCAUUUUGUUUGAGUACAAACAAAGUUCAAAAUUAGGGAGAGUUGAUAAGUUCCGAAUUACUGUUAUUUUUCAUAGCACAUAUUGACUUGUUUUGCAAGAAAUCUAAAACAAACACCCCUAAUUUGAUAUAAAUAUCACUUAUAUCAGUAAGAUGUUCCUGAAAGCUAUUACGUCCUGCUUUAUACAAUUCUAUAUGUUUAAGACAAUUACUGGAUCAAUGUGGCAUAAAGGAAGGAAAGUACACGCGUCAGAGUUAUGCCAAAGUCUUAUAAAGACAUAUGGAGACAAUAACGACUCUCUAAGAGAGCAUAGUGAGGUGAAAGUGAUCCUAAAUAGAGGAUUAUAUAAGGAAAAGCCAAAGACGGUUUAAUGUUAAGUUGAGCAAGCAAAGUCGGUUUAAGGAAAAUAUCUAAAGGUUGUUUUUCCCUCCCUUAGCAUAUCUAUUAUUUCUUAACCCUCUAUAAAUAGAGGUGUAGGUCAUUUGUAAAUGUAAUCAACUUUUAAACCUAUAACACUAUAGUGAGAGAACGAGGGUAGAGAGUAGAUGAAGCCACUAGAAGACUGGAGAAUCUAAGAGAUAAGCUUGUUGAUGUUUCUCCAACAUUCAAUAACUCUCAUUUGUUAGUCAUGAAUACAUGGGUAAUUAAACUCUCUCUUUUGUUAGGAUUGGAUGUGAAUAGCUAGGAAUCUAUGUAGUACUCUCAUUUCUUAGUCUAAAUGAUUUAUGUUUUCAAUAUAAUUUUAGUCUAAAUAUGUUCUUAAUGAUUUGCCACCGAAGUAGUGUGCCGCAAUUGAUCUUUUUAUUGAGUCAAACCCUAGUAAGGCAGACUAUCAAAGGGACAUGGUUUAGAUUAUGUAUAAGUGACCCCGUCCGAGAGAUGGCAAGUAAGUCUAUAUUCAUGUAUAAAUUUUUGGUCAUACGCCAUAGAAACAAUUGUCUAUUUUGUCGUCGUGCAUUGGAAGUUAGUUGUUUCUAUUUUAUCUCGCAUAUUAACCUUAAUUGAAUACAUGAUGAGGAAAGGAUGGAGUUAUAUCAGAAGCAAAAAAAGUAUACAAUCUAAUAAGACCAAACAUACGAGAAAUAGCUAUUGAAAUUCAAACCCAGCCAAAAUCUAGCUAUAUUUAUUCAGUUUUACUUUGAUUCAAACCACUUAACAUCAGGGAUGGAGCUACGUAGUAUUGAAAUGGGGAGACUGCCACCGUUGUCACAUGGUGCAGUAUACUACCUCUCCAUAUAAGUAUAGUCUUCUCCACCCCAUCUAUGUAAAAAAUACAUUAACACCUUUUCUUUUCAUCAAAUAAUAACUUUUUUGCAAGUUUUUUAAUCAUAUAAUAAACCAAUAUAGUGAUUCUUUUUUAUAUAAAUUCAACUAACAAUAACCAACUUGUCAAUUCCUAAUUGCCGAUUCCUAUUUCCAUGCAAUAAUUAUUCGAAAAACUAAGUGUAUCGUCUCUUACAGAAACAGGCAAAUCACUUGACUCGUAAGCUUAAUUCAAUUGGAUUAGUAUGGGAGUUGUAUAAAUAUAUACAGAAAUUAGGGUUUGUACCUCAUACACCUAUUUAAAAGUUAAAUUCUAGUCCCUAAACUAUUUGACAAAAAAUCAAUAAGCAAAUCACUUCCACCUAACAUUAUUAUGUUAUGUUUUAAUUAUAAACCAUGCCAACUAUUUCAAUAAAUUAAUAGUAUAUAACCAUUCCGUAAAAAAACGAAGGAUGAUAUGAUCUUGAUGGCUACAUUUUUUUGAUGUAUCUUUUUUAUCAAGUAGUCUAGUCCAUGGUUAGAUUCAUACAUAGAAGUGGAGAAUUAGGAUUCGAUCUCUAACCCCGAUAAAUAAUGUUCAUUCAACUAAGUUAUAUUUAUCAAACAUUUUCUGAAGGGAAUUAACAUUUAUUUUAUGUAUCAGCUUUUGUAGCAUAUAUGAUCUUUUUUUUUGUUUUUCAUCAAACUAAAUUUUAUAUAAUUACUAGCGAAAAGACGGGCACUCACGUUCCCAUCUUUCAGCUCUUUUUAUUGCACUAAUAUUUGAAAAUUAUUAACCGUGUUUAUUUUAUGAAAUUUUGAUUUGGAUUAAAACUAAAAAUAUAAAUGUUUCUUGCUUUCAAGUGAUAGCAAACCAAACUAAUCAUGAUUAUUUAUUUCAAUCACACCAAGAAUAACAAAAAAAUAUAUAAUCUAAGUUCUUUUUUUAAUAACACCAACAAUGAUCUUUAUUAUAGAAAAAGUUGUUUAAGGGUAUAAUUGAGAUAAUGAAAAAGUAAGUAUAAAUAUAUUCAUCUAGUUUGUUGCACUUUUUAAAUGAUAAAGGAAAAAAAAUCGGAUAUAUUAUAUAUUCAUAUCGUGUUUGUUAUAUUUUUUUAAUAUUUAAAUUUAUUCUUAUCUAUUUGUUACAUGUGUUAUUUGUAUUUAAAAUUGAGUGCAUCUUUGAAAGAAAAAAUUCAUCCCAAAGGAGCUGAAAGAGUUGUUUUCUUUGUAUACGGUAUAUAUUAAGAGUAGAAGUUCGUUCAUAUUAUGUUAUAUAUCAUUUGCUAUAUUUUCGCCACCCUCCAUAUGAUUUUUCCUGGCUCCGCCCUGCUUAACAUGUUUAUAAACAACCACUUCUAAAAAAUAUUAUAUACAAAAUUAAAUUAACUAACCACGUCUCAAUGAUACAAUAUUUUAUUUGUUUGAUAAAACUGACAUAUUUACGAGAGAAACCAUCCGAUUUCCUCUGUUAUCGAUGACGAUGAAAACAUUUUUUUCCUCAAAUGUACCUAAAUUACUCAAUAACGUCAUCACAACUACAACCACUUGAUACGCAACCACCAUAUGAUAGUUUUUCAAAGAUGAUUGGGGAGAUCAAUGAGAUGGCGAAAAGCACCAUGCCUGUAUCGCCACCUAAACCACCCAAAUUUGACUUAUAGUCUCAUGGCCAAACCUCCAAAUCCACCCGUUGCCAAGUACGGAUUAAUGGUGAGUGACUCAGUUUCCCAUUAAUUGAGGAAACAAGUACUGCAAGAUCUAAACCGAACCUAGUAGAACUAUUCUCCCUGACCCUUGGUAAGGUAGAUGCUGAUAGAGUUGCUCAUUUGUAGAACUACCGAGUGGGAGAGUGUGCUAUGACCUAAGAUUCGUAGAUAGUAAAACCCGUUAGGAACACUGACCUUCAUUGCCUAUGGAAAUUUAUGAAUGUCAAGUUAAGUCUAUGUUUCAAUUACCUUUGAGGGAGUAAGACCCCCACACUAAAAAUCCUUACGAAGGUGGCGGAUCAUAUAGGAUUUAUAAUCCUAUACCUUAGCGUGCGUAUAACCUUAGUGUGGACCAGUAGGUGCAACUCAACAUUGAUAUACCGAAAUCAGACUCCGGACGUAAGGAUCACCGUGCGAUCAACAGGUGCUACAUGACGAAUCGAUUAGGUUAGAACGUCCCGAUUGACUCAUCACUUAGAUAGUCUACUUACGAUAACUAAAUGCAGCAUGAAUGUUAUUUAAUUCCAACAAAAACAUAGGGGGGAUUCAAAGAGUCCUAACUCUUACUUACUUUUCUGCAACCAAAAAAGGUAACUUGCUAUGUUACAAACAGAUAAAAAUUGCAAUCUCUUAUCCAUCAACUCUUUAUUUAUAUUUUGUUAAACCAAAUAAGUAACGCGAACUGUUUGGACGAAACAAAAAUCCAUGUGGAUACGAUACUCUACUUACACUUUAUUACUCGGUAAACGAUUUGGUACACUUACCUAAUCUGAACAUAAAUGUUGCAAUUUCCUAAUGAAGUUAUAUGAACUACAUUACUUGGCCUGUGGAAGUCCUGAUAUCAAGGAAGGAGAGCAAAGUAGAAACAUAUAUAGAUUGUUAAAGCUCGCCUACAGAUUAGUAACAGUUUAAUAAUUUCAGUCAAUUUUGUAUAUAUGCUUUAUCUUGUUUAACUGACUGAAAUUUUUAAGUUUCAUCAUGUCUAAGUUUAUGUGAAAGUUUUUAAAGAAAUGGUAGGUUGUACAUUUAAUUGAUUGCAAAACAUUUGUUGCCUAGCGAAAUACUAAAGUUUCCCCACACUUACUCAUAUUGAAACACACACACACCAAGGAGUAGAAACAUAUAUUGAUGGAGCUCAUAUGGAUAGACGUAACCAUUCUAAUCCUUGUGAAACAUACGGAAAGUUUCCUUAAGAUCUUUGUCGUUCAUCUUACAUGCGCGCUGCGAGGUUGAGGAAUUCGGAGAAAUCAAUGACACUAUUCCCGUCAGUGUCGAACUUAUUCAUCGUGGCCAGCAAGUCGAACUCAGUUGGGUUCUGGCCGAGCGACCACAUUAGAGUCCCAAAUUCCUUGGCAGAAAUACAACCAUCUCCAUCCUUAUCGAAGAGGUUGAAAGCCUUCUUAAACUCUGAAACUUGUUUGUCAUUGAGUUGAUCGUCCAUUGGAGGAAGAUUUGGUUCUGCAGAAGCAAAAAGAGAAGAGGAGAAUGAUUUGUAUGUUUUUUUAGAAAGGAGUUUCUAUGAUGCAUUCACUAUUUGCUCUCAUUGUUCAAUAUGAUCCGUACCCAAAAUUUAGAAUGGAGUUUAUAGGAUGGAUUCAUAAAUUGAAUCGUUUAGGUGUGUUUGUUUCUGUGGAAAAAACUUCUUUUUUUCUAGGGAGGAAAAAAAUCAUUUUUAUGAAUUACAGAACUAUUAAUCGACUUGUGUAAUUUAGGAGAUAUCAUUUUAUAAUAAAAAAAAGAAAAAAAAACAUGUAAAAAAUUUCAAUAUUCUCUAUUAUUAGUAAAUAAAAUCUGAAAACAUUAAAUGUUAUAUAGCUAACGCUUUUAGUAAAUAAUACUUAUCUAUUAUAGUCUACACUUAUCAUGCGUGGUUGCAACAUCCUUUAUAUUGUCUGGGCAUUACCGUAAUUGUUUUAGCUGUCUCGCAGCAGCUUGCCUUUGUUUCCGGUUAUGCUUCUUUACAUACAUAAAUUUGAAAUACAAAAAUAAAUUAUAGGCUAGAAUGACUCACCAAUGGUAAGAGUCAGUGGAACAUAACUAUCGGCUAAAAUUUGAGAAGAGGAAAUGACAUAAAGACCAAAACCAAGAAACAAAUAUAAUUUUGAGUGAUCCAUAUCACUUCUAGGCGGUGACAGUGCAAUGGUUGAUAAAUAAUAAUGUAGUAGUUUGUGAUAUAUAUAUAUAUAUAUAUAUAUAUAUAUAUAUAUAUAUAUAUAUAUAUAUAUAUAUAUAUAUAUAAUGCAAGAAGUUGACCUGUUUAUAGGGCCAAGAGUCAAGUUUAAAUUUAAAUUUAAAUUAAGGCAAAGUAUGUGGCUAAAAAACCUUUUGAAAGGAUGUAAAUAUUAAUUAAAAAAUUACAGUUGAAAACGUAACACAUAUUUAUAUAGAGCCUCUAAAUUUGUGUUUUAGAUUGGGUCAAGACUAAUUUUCUCUUUGGAUUUGGUCCUCCCAAGUCACUGAUUUAGAAACAGACUAUAACAUAGUCUUGUCCUAAAUGUAUUGGAUAAGGAUCGCCUAAGGUAAUGUUGACCGUUCAUUCUAGAAUCAAGGUCAACAUUAUCUAAUCUCUGCAUUAGUGUCCUUUGAGAUAGUUGUUUGAGAUAAAGUUUGAAGGGACCCAAAACCCUAAUUCGCCACUAUAUAAAGGUUAACUUGUGCUCUCUACCUAUGUCCAAACAAUUCUAUUCUAACAACCACACACAUUCAUUGCAGUUUUACUCGAUCGUUAGAGUGUAUGCCCCCCCCCCCACACACACACACACACACACACACACAUCCAUAAAGGAAAGAUUUGUUUUCAAGUCUGUCAAUCUGAACACAUCCACAGUCAUUGGUGAUGAAAUUGGCAAGUGCAACAAAUCAUACGCAAGUAAUAAAGUAGUAAGUUAUGUCUCCACUGAGAUUGUCGUUAAAAUCAGUAAUUAGUGGAAUUUAUUAGAAAUAAAAUAAUUUAAUAAGAGAUGAAGUUCGUUUGCAGGGUUUUACAUGUCCUUCUCAAUGCGAGAUUAGGUUUUGUGAUUCAUAAUUAUAAUGACGAUUAGGGAAUCCUUGAAUCCCCCCUUCCAUCUUUCUUGGAAUUAAUUUGGUUGAUUGUUAGUUUAUGACCUGUCUUUCGAAUUAAGAACGGAGGACAUGGCCUUGUGAUGUAUCAAUAGAAUUUUUAGUUUCAUAUCGCCGCAAUUCAACCAGUUACAAUUGUGAUGUUCCCUUAAGAUGAGUCAUAGCCCUAAAUUCAUACUUAGAUUCAAUGAAAAGAAUUUUAUUUUGAAAAUAAGCAAUUUACUACUGUCUGGUUUGGACAAAUUUAGGGUUGUCUAUCCUAAUAUUCUCCAUCUAAGAUAUGGUAUAGAAACGGACAUAUACAAAUUAAAUCAGACACUUGAAUCAUAAACUGAAUAAAAAAAUUAUUAAUUGAAUCCCAAAAAUAAGAAGAGGUUCAUCAUGGAACCUUGAUCAAAGAGGUUUAGUUGCACAUGGCAACUGACAUCAUUACCAAACAAUAGAAAAAAAAAUUCCCUAGAGAGAACAAGAGGAAGAUGGAGAUCCUUUGCCUUGAAGCUCUUAUGCUUGACCCUUGCAUUGUGCCGCUAGCUUUCUGAAUGAAUAAAUGAAUGUACAAGGGUCUCUAUUUAUAGUUCAUCAUUACUUAGGGGUUCGGAGAAGAAAACUAGGCUUUUUCCACCGAUUCAUCUUGAAAAAUAAGCAAACAAUAGUUCUUCCCACAAGCCACGUGUGGGGUGCAUGAUACAACAUUCAGGGGUGUAUUAGGUAUAUUCUGUCUUGAAAUGCCUUGGAACUUAAAAUGAAUAUUCUUUAACUUAUAUUGUCUUCAAAGACCUUCGAUGAACCAUUGAUCUUCAAUCUUCAUAUCCUUGAUACUUCAUGUGAUGUCUUGUUUCGACGAUUUACAAGAUUUCUCACUAACAAGACCCAAAACUCAUAUGAAGUUGUAUGAUUUAGGAUAAAACUGAAUUACAACGACUCAAAUGAAAAUAAUACAAAAUGUUCCUCAAACCAUUGACAACUCCUCUAAAUGACCUCUUAUUUUCCUUCAAAUGCAAAUAAAAUAAAUAAAAAUAUAGUCAAAAAUAUCAUAUGAUAUCCCAUCAUCAGUCAUGCUCAGGUCGUACCUCUCUAGUCCCAUUGGACUAUUUGGCAUCGUCUGUGGGAAACUUUCCUAUGUUUCAUCACCAAAUAUUUCAUGAUAUCUAAUGGUCAACACUCGAUUUCUAGUAAUAAUCAGCUCUUUUGUUGGCAACACCUAGCCCCAUUAGAUUGACAAAAGAACAAUUUUGUCAUCACCUCCAAACUAAAAUUGAAACUAACCCCGUGAUGGAUCCAUGACGAUUCUACCUUCACAUUUGAUCCCAGACAUAGUGUCCUAUAACCUAGAUAACCAAUAGACUCCUCCCUUUAAAGGAGGCUACCAAACUAACAAUCUCAUCUGAUACAUUCUAGAUGCAAUUCAACAAUCAUCAAAGAUAAUUGUAGCCCAAGGUAAGUGACAGGUCUGCGCUAAGAACAGGAAGAUGCAUAUCCCCCACUAAUAAGGUUAAUUAGAAAUCGCACGCACACCAAAAACACACUAGAACAUGGACCGUUGGCGAAAAGACACGACAUUUUUUGUCCCCGAAAGAUUUAAAGUCUAAGACCCCCAUCAUCGUCCACCGUCCUAGUCCCCUCAACGCCAUAAUGUUAAAUACUAUAUGAAACCUCCAACCCUCCCUCCCCUCGCUCCUAUGGGGCAUGGAGUUUGUUGUAAUGAUGAAAAUUCUCCAUUGAGACGUUCCUAUUGCAGGUCAUUAUCUUAUGAGAUUUCCUCGUAUGAAGAUGAUCUCCCUUAGAAGAAUUUAUUUCACCGCGAUAAUCAAUGAUUACCUGGUGCCUAGAUAUCUUCAGAAGUUCUUCCCACUGUAAUUAUACAAUGGAAUAACAGGCCCAUACAACAAUUUUGAAACGGUUAACAUGUUGUCAUUUUGCAAUGCCUAGGGUCCAUUGAAGUGCAAGUUUUUCUUAUUGACAAUAAGAGAGUGUACAAUGGCUUGGUUCAAAGGCUUAAGACCAUUAUCUAGUAAUUUUUGGUUGAAAUUUGUACACGUUUCACGACCCGCCUCACCACCUCCUAAAGGCAACCCAAGUCAGCGGAAAACCUUACAACAAUAUGUUAGAAGAAAUAUGAAACCUUGAGAGCAUACAUUGAGAGAUUAAACAAAAAAAAAGUACAAGUGAGUAAUGUUGAUGAAAUGAUGAAGACCUAUCUUUUGAGACAAACAUUCUUGAUGGGAAACAACUGCCCAAAGAUUAUUGCCCUCAAUAAGAAAGAAGUCGUGACGAGCGGCAAAGCCCAAGUCUUGAUUAUCAACUGCUUGUGUAUGUAUAAUUGUUUGGCGGGACGCCCACAUUAGUCAGACUUUGUGUCGUCUCAUCAGCCGUGCAUCUCAUUUGACUUCGAAAUAAUUGUAUCAUGAUAUUUAAGAUAAGACAUACUUUUGAAAAAGAGUUUAGUCUUGAAGAGUGAGAGACUAAGAACUUAUAUUGUUUUUCAAUCCACUUUCCUCCAUUUUCAUUAUCCUCGGAUCAAUUUUUUUAAAACAAGCAUCGUACAAUUAGAGUUAUGCACUAAGAAGUUUAUAGUUUAAAUUCUAAUUAUUUAGAAAAUUAAAUACUCUCAUAAAUUUUAUUUAUUUUAAAUAUUUUCGUUUAAUGAACUUACAAGCCUACUAGUUUUUUUGUUUACAAUCAAAAAUUGAUGUGAUUUCAAGUGGUGUAACAAGCAACAUGAUAUUUUACUAUUAUAUCAUAAAAUUCAAACAAAUAUAUCAUAAAAACUCGUCUCUUCUUCAAAAUGGUUUUUGGUAAUUCUUCAAGACAUCCUUGUGUACACUACGGGUGGAGGGUGGAACUUUUCUUGGGUGAAGAUCAAUAGCGGUGUCUGAGCAGAAUUAGGCAUGUUCUUGGGAUGUGUUGGGGGCAGAAUGCCACGUUGCAAUUUUCCUCUUCUUUUGUGUGCCCUUGUUUGGAUGUGUCUUGGUUGUUGUUGGUUGGUUCAGAGCUUUGGUUUUACUUUGUUUUAGUCCCUUUCGUUUCUCAGUCUUUUUUGUAGUUUUUUCCAUUAGAAAUGAGGGAAGAAAGUUAUAUUUUCAAAGACUAAAUAUAUACUCCUUCCGUUUCAAAAUAUAAACAGAAUUCAUUUUUUAGGUUCAUUCAUUUAAUGAUGUAAACGAGGGAAGAAAGUUAUAUUUUCAAAGACUAAAUAUAUACUCCUUCCGUUUCAAAAUAUAAACAGAAUUCACUUUUUAGGUUCAUUCAUUUAAUGAUGUAUGUGGUUUAUAAUAUGGAGGGAGUAUUUGAUUUCCUAAACUAUAUAACUUUUAAGUAAACAAAAAAAUAGGAUGGAAAGUAAAAUACAAAUGGAUGGUCAGACAAAAGUCACUCGGACUACUUAAACAAAGGGACUGAGAAAACAAGUAUAGAACUAAUAAUGAGUAGAAGCAAUAAUUAAAGCAAACAAGCCAACCAAAAAAAAACUAAUGACCACAAAUAAAACAUCUAAUAAUAGAAAUAGAACAACGGUUCUCAUCAAAACUUGUUUAACGUGUCAAUUUUAUAUGUUCAUGUGCUUUUUCAAAUUUUUGGUUGGUCCCUUUGCUUUAUGACCUUGGGUUAGAGGUGCAUAUUGCCCAACAAAAUUUUAAAUUUUUUUCCGUCAAAAAAUUGCAUGAUUUAGUCAUCCAAAAUAUCUCUAUUUAUAUAAAUAGUCGAUGUUGCUUCAGCUUUUAAAAUUUUAAAUAAUUGUUGUAGCUAUACCUAGAAUAUUAUAUUAAAAUAUAUCACCAGUCUAGUUCUGUAAGGACUAAAUAUUAUUUAAUCCAUUAUAAUUUCUAACACUUAGAAAUUGAAAGAGUAAUUUUAGCCAUAAUAGUUAUCCUAUUAUGGUUAUAGACUCCAAAAGGAAAUGGAAAAAAAAUAAGAAGGGGAUGGGAGUGUUGAAAUUUGGGGCCUAACUCAUCCUUACAAAACCGGCUUGUGAGGUGAGGAUUGCCUCAUCUUUAUAAACUUUUCUCAAGAGUCUUGUCUAUCCGAUGUGAGACUUAGGUUGUUCUCAAUACACCCCCCCUCACGGAUCAGUAAGGAGAAUCAGGGGGACUGUCCACAUCGAGGCUAGAACAACCAGACAAGCAAGAGAGACGCCACUCUUACCCAAAACCUUAAGGCUAUGAGUUUAUGAGUCCUCUUACUUAUAAGGUGUUCAACCUUUACUUUUCUAUCCAAUGUGGGACAUAUAACUCACACUUGCACAUAACACUCCGCCUCAAGUGUGAGUCCAUCUAUUCAUCAUGCUCCCCAUCAAAUGGAAGCUCAUACUUGCUUGUAUCGUCGUUGCUGGUUUCUCCGCAACGGACCGACACUGUACCGUCGUUGCUGGUUUCUCCGCAACGGACCGGCUACCUUUGUCGAACUGGGGUUUUGAUACCAUAUUGAAAUUUGGGGCCUAACUCAUCCUUACAAAACCAGCAUAUAAGGUGAGGAUUGUCUCCUCCUUAUAAACUCUUCUCAAGAGUCUUGUCUAUCCGAUGUGGGACUUGAGAUUUUUCCAAUACAAAUGAUUCUUCUCCAAUUUUGAUAUGCUGAUUUUGUAUAGUAUUAAUUUGUAAUACCAAAAUUUUUUGUUGCUGUGUGUUGGAAAAGGAAAUAUACUUUUGAGUGUUGCAAUUAGUAUUAGUAAUUUUAGAAUGAAAAAAAUUAUGAAUUUCGUAAAAUCACUGCUUCAAAUUAAGCUUUUCCAAUAACCAAAUCUCAAAGAUUAUUACCAUUUCGUUACCCUAAUUCGACAAAUCAAUUGUUUUUUUCAUCACAAUACCGUGUUUGUUUCGUUCAAUUUAUCUUUGUAUGCAUUGAGAAUUUGAGAUAAUUGGGGUGCAUGAUGAAGAGAGAGAAGAGAAAAGAAGAAUGGCGUCUACGAUUUCUCUAAAGGCAAAGGGAAAGAGCUCAAAUAAGAAAGCAGAAGAUCGAUCAGCGAUCGAUUCUUUGAAGGAAUGGACAACAUGGGGUAUUAAGAAAACGAAGGUUAUCGCUCACUAUGGUUUCAUUCCUUUGAUUAUCAUCAUCGGUAUGAACUCUGAUCCAAAACCACAACUCUCCCAGCUUCUCAGCCCCAAGUAAUUGACGUGCGCAUUUUCACUUGCUUUAUCUGAUGGGGUUGUGUUAGGCCCAACCACGAUUUCUAACAUGGUAUCAGAGCUUGUCGAAUUAAAGGGCCGCCUAAACCUAUUCACGAACCAAGUCCAAAGAGUGUUGGUCGUGAGGGGGUGUAUUGAGAAAAACCCAAGUCCCACAUUGGAUAAACAAGACUCUGGAGAAGAGUUUAUAAAGAGGAGGCAAUCCUUAGCCUACAAGCCGGUUUCGUAAGGAUGAGUUAGGCCCCAAAUUUCAACAGAAAUAAAUGAAAGAGUUACAAAAACAAAAAAAACAUAUAUGGGAAAUGUCACAAAAGAAAUUUUUUUUUUAUAUAUAUAUAUAAUUUGCAUCUUAAUGACAACAACAUCAGAAUAGCUAAGUGGUAGAACUUAAUAUGCACAAUCAUAAGGUCAUGUGUUUGAUCCGCUCCUGGACAAAUCUUUGACAAACUCCUCAAUGUUUAUUUGUCCAUCACCAUCAAAAUCAGCCUCACGAACAAAUUCUUCCACAUCUUCAUAUGUCACCUUUUGGCCGAUAUAUGUCAUAAAAUAAUGCAACUCAGAUGUAGAGACAAAACCAUUCUGAUCCUUGUCACACAUAUGGAAAACUGCCACAAAAUUUUCAUUAUCAAUAAAACCAUCUUCAUCCUUAUCGAUGAGGCUGAAAUACGCCUUUAUCUUUGAUAUUUGAUUGUGAUUGAGUUGAUCGGCCAUUGAAGGAAGAUUGGGUUCUGCAAAAGUGCAAAGAGAAGAUGAGAAUGAUUUGUAUGUGUAAUUUGAAAAAUCCAUUUUCUAAAAUAACAACACAAAUAUCUAAAGGUGCAAUACAAAUGUGUAACGUGAAAAAUCCGUUUACUCUAACACCUUAUGACACGUAAUAGAGCUCGACAUUGAUGGUUUGUUACUCUGUAACCAAGCUUAUAAAACGACCCCUUCAGCACAAAAGCAAAGUACACGCAAUGUAUACUAAAAACUAUCAUUUUUUGCACUCAUACUGAUUUGAAUGUCGAAAUAUUUACAUGUACCCCUAACUUAAAUUUUGACGGUUGUUAUUGUCGGACGCCAUCAUUAUGGUAAAAAAGGAUCAAGCAUAUUUUUCUUUUUUAAGUUAUAUGUUUCACUUUAGCUAUAUUAAAUUUGUUGUCAUACUCCUUUUUCUUCUCUUUCAUCUCCCACCGGCCACCAACCCUUUUAUCCCUCCAUGACAACCCUAAGACCUGGAGACUUCUUGUUUUUCCGCAUAAAGUACUAGUAGAAUUAAAAAGAUCCUUAUUUGGGUCGUUGAUUGAUUUAUGAGAUUUCUUUCUAAUCAAUGAGGCAAAAUAGCUUUAGAUAAUAUCCAAUCACCAUAAUUAUGAUUGUUAGUAGGCGCAAUAUGAUCCAUGCUAAAAAUCUGCUCAGAAGUUUCUACGAUACAUCCACAAAUUGAAUCAUUUUGGUAUAUUUAUUUAGGAAAUAAAAAAGAAGCAAAAUAGGGUGAUAAUUAUAUGCACAUGUAAAACUUAUUUAAUAUUAAAUUCUUUACAUAUAUGGAUUUGGCAUAAAAAAAAAAAAAAUUUAUAGGCUAGAAUGACUCACCAACAGUAAGCAUUGGUGAAACAUGAAUAUCAGCUAAAGCUUGAGAAGAGAGAAAAACAAAAAGAUUAAGACCAAGAAACAAAUAAGAUUUUGAGUAAACCAUGUCACUUCUUGAUGAUGAUAUUGCAAUGGUUGAUAAUAAAUAAUAAUGUAGUAAUUUGUAUGUGUGUGUGUGUAUAUAUAUAUAUAUGGAAAGAAGUUGCUCUGUUUAUAGGACCAAGAGUCAAGUUGAAGUUUAAAUUUAAAUUAAUGCAAAACAUGUGGCUAAAAAAUCUUCUGAAAGGAUGUGAAUAUUAAUUUAGAAAUAACAGUAUAAAAUGCAAUAUUUAUUUAUACACUCUUUUAUUUGAGUUCUUGAUUGGGUAAAGACCCAUUUUCCCUAUGGAAUCUUUUGCUUUAAAAUAACAAAUUAAGAUGAUUAGAGCUUAUUCGAGAUAUCAAUUAUCAUCAAACAAUAUUUCCAGUACUUGAUUAAAAUAAAGUUAUUUUCUUAUUUUAUUGAUAACUAAUGUGUAAUUUGUUAUUUUUCACAAAUGAUUGGGACUUUCGAGGGGAGAGCAAUGGAGGGUUUAUAAAAAAUGAAAGGAAGAAGUGGAAAGAAUGGAGAGCUAUAAGAGUGGAAGGCUUUGUGGGGUUUAGUUUUCUUCGUAAUACAAAAUUCCCCUAAUUUGGGGGAACUAAAAAUUUGUAUUGAAGGAGGGUUUUGGGGGAUUUGGAUAAGUUUUUCAAAUCUAAUCUAUGUUGUUAUAAUACUUUAAAGUUUAAAGUGAAAAAUACAUUAAUCAUAAGUAUUUAUUUACAAUUCUCUACAAAACUACUCACUCCAAAAAUUUAAAAGAUUUUUCUAUUUUUUCCUCUAAUCUCAUCCCUCAAAAACCAUUUUCUUCCCUUCCCCUUCAAACUUCCAAACAGAGUCUAAGAGCGGCAAAGCACAAGUCUUGGUAGUCACCUGCUUGUCUAUGUAUAAUUGUAUGGUGGGACGCCCACUUUAGCCGAACUUUGUGUCGUCUUGUCAGUCAUGCAUUUUAUUUGACUACGAAAUAAUUGUAUCAUGAUAUUUUAGAUAGCACAUAAUUAUAUUGUUUUUCAAUCAACCGUCCAACAUUUUUCUUUGUCCUCGGAUCAAUUUUUUAAAAUCAAGCAUUGUACAAUUCGAGUUAUGCAUUCGUAGUGUAUAGUUUAAGCUCUAAAUUUUUAAAAAAUUAAAUGCUCUUAUAAAAAAAAAUUACUUUAAAUAUUUUGGUUUAAUGAACUUACAGGCCUACUAAUCUUUUGUUUUCAAUCAAAAAAUAAUGUGAUUUCAAGUGGUGUAAAGGGCAACAUGAUGUUUUACUAUUACAUCAUAAAAUUCAAACAAAUACAUCAUAAAAUUCGUGUCUCUUCUUCAAAAUGGUUUUUGGUAAUUCGUCAAGACAUCCUUGUAUGCACCAUGGGUGGAGGGUGGAACUGUUCUUGUGUUAAGAUCAAUAACGGUGUGUGAGCAGGAUUAGGUGUAACACCCCGUUUUUCCCAACUUAAAAAUUUCAUAACAAUUAUCAGAGUAUUCAACAUAUAAACGGAAUGCUACACUUCUUAAAAUUCAUAAAUGGAAUAAAUAACAAUAUGUCCUUCAUAAUUCAAUCAACAAAAAUAUUAAAAACUUCGCAGCGGAUUUAAUUCAAAACAUAAUUAGUCUUGGCACGAAGGCCUCAUCAAAACAUCUCAUAAAAAUCCAAACUAAAUCAUAGUCAUGUAAAAUCAUAAGCAAUACGUAAGGAAUAGAAAAUAGCCACAAAAGUUCCCAUCUCGUUAUGUAUCAGAGCACCUAAAGACACAGUGAGAGAUAGCCACUCACGACAGCAAUCAACAGCUACUUAUUCUCGAUCACCUGCAAGUUACUCAUACGAAGAGCAACAUUUUCAAGCAGAAGAGGUGAGAUUUCACAAACAAUAAUAUUAAGCAUAUAAUUCAACAAUUAAAUUUAACAACAUAAACUUUAUUAAUUAAUAAUAAUAAUUCUUCAUAUAGUGCUUCAUUAAUAGUCUAAUCGACUUCUAAUCACCAUUAGCUCAUAACAAAUAUAAACAACAACAUAAUCAUUAUCUUAUAAUCAUAUAAACAACACUACAUAAAUAUUUCAUGGUUAGUCAUCAACAACAACUUCAACAAUUCGACGAUGACAACGUCAACCUGACAAUACAACUACAUGAGAGUACACCACCUCUUAUAAAACAACAACGUAAGAGUACAUCACCUCUUAUAAAACACCAGAACAUAAACAGUCACUAACAACAGCUUCAACUACGACUUCAACAACUUAGAUAAUAUCAACAACUUAAGACUCCAAUACUUUGGAACAUUUUGGAAAGACAACUUACAACUUUACAACUUAGACCAACAUCAACAACUUGAUCAAUAUUCAACAGCAACAGAAACAGUACAAGUCAUUCACAACAUAAUAAUAUUCAUGAAAAGCAUCAACAACAUAAACAUCAUACAUUUUCCACAUAAGGCAUAUAAAUAUUUCACAUAACCAACAUCAACAACAUAGGCAGCACGUAAACAUCUCAAGAUAUAACAACAUCAAAUGAUAAUCAACAUCAACUUAAACAUCUUAUAUAAUUCACAAAUGCAUAUACAAAUUUAUUACAUUACUAUCAUCAUUAAAUCAUAUUGUAACAGCUUCACUGAUCAUCAGUAAUAUUAUAUUCAACCUCAAUUCCUACCCGAAGGAUCAACUCAUAACAUCUCAUGCGACAAAGAUCGCAAAACCCUGAACAAGGUAUUCUGUCUUACAGGAGCUCGCGAGGCGAGGGACAUUACUCGCUAUGGCGAGUUCAGAAAUUUGGCUAUUCGCCUUGGCAAGUAAGCUGCUCGCCUUGGCGAACAAGAAAUGGUUGCUCUCGGGAAUUUGACUUUUUUUCACCUAAAAAUCCAUUUUUAAACUUUCCCAAGUUCAAUCUCAAUCUAAAAACUUGCCUAAUCAUUAUUAUACAUAUUCAGACACUCAAAAUCAUCUAAAUUUCGACUUAAGGAGCUAAAUCACAAAAUCACAAAAUCAUGUUUCCUCACUGGUCAAACUCGCUAUGGCGAGUGAUCUGCUCGCUAUGGCGAGCUGCAAGGUGCAACUCGCGAGGCGAAGAAAAGUUGCUCGCGAGGCGAGCAAUGGAGUUCAUCACUCGCUAUGGUGAGGAUCAUCCCUCGGGAGGCGAGCGAUGAAUGUUCGCUUGGGCAGAAUUGCAAUUUUGACGAAAAUUCACCUAAUCACAUGGUUCAAACCUUAAAACCGGUUCCUUUAAUCAUCCUAUGGAUUAUCUAAGGUCUGUACACAGUUUCUAAAUCAAUCUAACAAUUCUACAUCAAUUAAUCGUCAAUUCCUCACUUUAACCUAAUUCUCCAACUCUCUAAAAUUAAUUCUACACUUGUUAAAUUUAAUCAUCAGAAUUACAGACUCAAUAUAAUUGAAUGCUAGUCUCACCCUUACCUUAAGAAAAUCGAUCAGCAACACUCUCUUGGUUCUUCCCUCUUCUCGUUCUCCCUUUUCUCCAAAACUGGUUGUACGUGAAAAUAAUUCUAAACCUAGUUUUUCCUAUUUAUUUCCUCCCAUCUAUUUUAUCUUAUUUCCACACAACUCUCCUUAAUUCCAAAUCAGCCCCUUGAACUCCAAAUAUUCUAAAUUCCCACUUAUUCAUUAAAUAGUAAAAUAACUCAUUUAAUAAAAUAUAACACACCGCAUAAUCAACAUAAUUAUAUAAAAUCAUAUGUAAAAAGACUUUAAAUCAACCAAUAAUAAUUAAAUAAAAUUGGGGCGUUACAUUAAGCAUGUUCUAGUGAUGUGUUGGGGGCACGAUGCCACGUUGCAAUUUUCCUCUUCUUGUGUGUGCUCUUGGUUGUUGCUGGUUGGUUCAGAGCUUUGGUUUGACUUUGUUUUAGUUCCUUUGGUUUCUCUGUCUUUUUUGUAGUUUUUUCCAUUAGUUUUUCUCUUUUUUGUAUUGUUAUGUUGAUCUUUAAGCACUUCUUCUAUCGCAUAUCCUUAUUACCUUCUCUUAUGUAUAUAUUUGUUAUUCAAGAAGAGGGAAGAAAAAUAUAUUUUCAAAGAUUAGAUAUAUAUUUGAUUUCAAUGUAAACAAAGGGAUGAAAAGUGAAAGUUAUAUUUGAUUUCCUAAACUAUAUAACUUUGAAGUCAACAAAAAAAUUAAGAUGAAAAGUGAAGUGCAAAUGGAUGGUGAGACAAAAGUCACUCAGACUACUUAAACCAAGGGACAGAAAACAAGUAGAGAUCUAAUAAUCAGGAGAAGCAAUAAUUAAAGUAAACAAGCCAACCAACAAAAAACUAAUGACCCCAAAUAAGACAUCUUAUAAUCGAAAUAAAACAAUAAGUUUAACAAGUCCAUUUUAUAUGUUCAUGUGCUUUUUCAAAUUUUUUGUUGGACCCUUCACUUUAUCAUCACAUCUAGUGGCAUAUCCAUGACCCUGGAUCUAUGGGUUCAUACUUUUUCGUCCAACAAAAUUUUAAAUUUUUCUACGUAAAGACAUCACACAUUUUAUUCAUCCAAAAUAUCUCUAUUUACAUAAACAUAUAGUCGAUGUUGCUUCAACUUUUAGAAUUUUAUAUAAUUUUUGUUACUAUAUCUAGAAUAUUAUAUUAAAAUAUAUGAUCAUAUAGUUUUGUAAGGACUAAAACACUACACCAUUUGUUGUCUCUGGCAACACUUUUUUAGAGGACGUGCAAAAAUUGUCCCCUAAAAGUCCCUAAGGCAAUGUUUUAUGAAAAAAGAAAAAAGAGAGCCCACUCAAUUAGAAAUGUUUUUUGAAACUCGAAAAGGAAGUAGAGGAAAGCAAUUGGAUGAAGAAACUGGAAAAGUAUUUGUAUGUAAAAAAUUACAGUUACGUUAAAUUGUGUUUACUUAAUAUUGUUGGCAAACAUUGUUUAUAAUAUUAGUUAAUGUUUUCUUGAAUUUUUUUUUUUGCUCCCAACUUCAAGAAAUGGAUGAAAAGAAAGGAAGUGAUACUGAAGCUUUUAAAGCUGUUAUGGGAAAGGAGCGUCCUGGCAGGUUACGUUGUUAUGGGAGAAAAAUAACUAAAACUUCCUUAAAGCGAAAGGUUGAGAUUAAUGCUUUGAAUCAAGCACAUAGUCAAGAGGUAUCUACUUUAAGGCAUGAAUUUCAAGAUCAGAUUGAUAGAUUGCAAAAUGUGUUUAAGACCGUCAUACAACAAUGCAAUCCUCAAUUAAAUAUGGACUCAAUAGAACAUUUGCUAGGAUUAUCUCAUGGAGAUGCUAACAGCUCCCCAAAGGAUAGUAGAGCACAAAUGCAUUCCUCUACUUCCAUUCAUACUCCAUGUCCUGAAAAGGUAACCAUAUAUAUAAAUAUUAUUGAUUAUGUUAUUGUAAUUGAGUUAAACUAGUUAUAUUUUGCUUGUUAAUAUAUGCAAAAAGUUGUUAGUAAUGAUAUCACUUGGAAUGUAGGCAAGUGUCUGAAAUUGUUAACUUGCGUAUGUUGGGUCUAAAUUAGAGCUGUGCGAACUUAUGAUUAUGUUGUUUGGCUGAAUUGCUUAAAAUGCAUGUCCAAAGUCGGAUUUUGAUUGUGUUGCAGAAUUUUAUGCAUAAAUUUUGUUUAUGCAAUUUGUGGUGUUUGUGCAAACUUGUGAUUUAUUUUUCUGCAUUUUGUGUUUGUUUCUCUGUUGCAUAACAUGGCAUAAGUUGCAGAAACUUAAAAAUGAGCUUGUAAUGAUAGAAUAAGGAAGGGAAAUGUGUAAAAAAGGUUUCCUAUUUGCGGCUAUGUUGACUGUGUUUUACUUGUUGUUUUGGUUUUUAUUUGUGCGAGGUACAACACUUGUUGAUGUCUUUGAUUGGCCUUUGAACCAACAAUAUCUAUGGUUGAUGUAUUUUGUUCUUAUGCAGCAAGCUAUCAAUGAAGAUGUUGUACAGGAUGACAUAGUUGAGGAGGAAGACGUAGAUGAUGAAUUUCUUGAGGACGAAUUUCUUGAGGACAACUUAAGUGAUGAAUUUCAAGAGGAUGAUAUAGAUAAUGAAUUUCAAGAGGAUGACCUAGAUGAUGAAUUUCAAGAGGAUGACCUAGAUGAUAAAAUUCAAGAGAAUGACAUCGGUGAUGAAUUUGAAGUGGACGAUUUGGCUGAUGAAUUACAAGAUAAACUUGAAUGAUUGAGUUGGAUGGUGUUUUAUUUUGGAUUGUAGUUAAGCCACAUUUUGGAUUGUAGUUAAACCACUAAACUUGUCCGAACUAUAGUUUUGUUAUUUUGUUAGGCUUAUACUUCGAAGCAUUAAACUUAUCAAGUAAUGUUUGACAUUUUGAUUACUAUUAUGUCUUGAAUUAAUGUUUGAACUAUGUUAUUAUAUUACAUCUUUUGUGGUUGUAUUGUUAAAUUCGAUCUUGUUUGAGUUAUAAUUGACAAUUCUAAUAUUGUCUUUAAGCUAUAGUUACAUUUCUAAAAUAAUUGAAAAAUUCUAAAAUUUUACAAGGACACUCUAAAAAUGUUGCUUGUAAGUUAUGGGGACGUUUUUAUAAUUUCUUAAAAGAUUCAAAUUUUAGGGGACGAUUAUUAAUUGAAGCAACCUAUGGGAACAUUUAAAAACGUCCCCUCAGAAUCCCCAAAAAAUUGUCUCAUAUUCCUAAGGUUUAGGCGACGUUUUCAAAAACUGUGCCCAAAGAACAUGAAAAAACGUCCCCAUAGACUAUAGGCGACGCUCGUAUAGGAGACGCCGAGAAAACGUCCCCUAUACCUUUAGGGGACGUUUUUCUUAGUUCUGGCAACAUUUUUCGAUUGUUAGGCUUAAUUGCACUUUUGGACCCCUAUCUUUCCAAAAGUUGUGGUUAUGGCCCCCUAACUAAUUUAAAUACAAAACAACCCCCUAUAUUUUGAUUCUUUGGCAGUUUUGGACCCCCAGUCCAUUAGUGAGGUGCCACGUGUAUUAUUUAGGGGGUCACGUGGCACCUCACUAAUGGAUUGGGGGUCCAAAACUGCAAAAAAAAAAUCAAAACAUAGGGGCAUGUUUUGUAUUUAAAUUAGUUAGGGGGCCAUAACCGCAACUUUUGAAAAGAUAGAGGUCUAAAAGUGCAAUUAAGCCUUGUUGUUAAAAAGGAUAAAUGGUGUAGUGAAAGUUAUGUAAUCCAUUAUAAUUUCUAGCAGUUUGAAAUUGAAAGAGUAAUUUUAUCCAUAAUAGAUAGAAAACUAUCAUGGCUAUAAUCUCCAAAUAGAAAGGGAAAAAAAUAAAAGAAGGGGAAAGAGAAAAAUGAAAGAGUUACAAAAAAGCAUAUAUGAAAAAUGUCUCAAAAGAAAGAAAAAAAAAACAAAUAUGAAGCUAUAUAAAAUUUCCGUCAUGUCAUGUUUUCCAAAUGACAACAACAUCGCUAAACAGUAGAACUUAAUAUGCACCAUCAUAAGGUCAUGUCAUGUUUUCGAUCCUUGGUUCUGCUUUUUGGAAUUUUCAUUAGAAAGAAAAACCAAACUUAAAACUAAGUUGUAAGGAUUUUGGGGGUGUAAGUCCAAAAUCUAUAACCUUAAUAUUGGGGUCAAAAUGUAAAAAAAUAAAAAAUAAGAUUAUUGGUGCAAAUUUUCAAAACCCAGGGUGUGCAUGUACUUAUGAAGUCCAGAUACUCCAAAUUGGAGACAUACAUGUGUCGAAUGCGAAUGUAUAUGAUUAAAUUUAAGAUAUGAAUCGCUAUAAUUGUAUUUCGAUUAACCAAAUAAAAAUUAUAUUUUUGGUGGAUAAAAGUACCAAGAGAGAAAGGAUAUUCAAUCAAUCAACAUUAAAUAAACUUUGUUUAUAGUUUUUUUAUUGAUGUAUUUGUUGAUAUCCAAACUUAUGAAUGAAAAUAAAAUAUAAUUUUUACGUAGACUUUACAACUUUUAUUUUGAUCAUGUAUUAUUUUUCGUAAAUCGUGACUUUUAUGAUUAUAUAGUAUUGAAGAGUAAUUAAUUCUUAUUUUUUUAUCAAAUAUUUUGCAUGUAUUUAAUUUUUAGUAUAAAUAUUUUGUUAACGUAUCUUAGUUGUAUCGUAUCCUGAAUUUUAAAAAUAUCAUGCAUCCGCGUACCCGUAUUGUAUCGCACUCGUACAACGUAUUCGGGCUUCAUAGAUAAGUGCAAACCUUCACUCCACAGUGAAUCUGCCAAGUCUGACAAACUCCUUAAAGCUUAGAUGUCCAUCACUAUCAGAAUCAGCCUCACGAACAAAGUCGCUCACUUCUUCAUUGGUCGCCUUAAUGCCUUGAUUUGUCAAGUAAUAAUGCAACUCAGAUGCAGUGACAAAACCAUUAUGAUCCGUGUUAGGCUUAGAGAAAGCUAUGAGAAGCUCUUCUUUGGUGAAGUCAAUGGUACCAUUUCCGUCAGUGGCAGACUUAUUCCUCGCUACCAUCAAGCCGAAAUCAGUUGGGUUUAGGCCAGUAGACCGUAUUAGAGUGUCAAGUUCUUCAUUAUCAAUAGAAACAUCUCCAUCCUUAUCGAUGAGGCUGAAAUACGCCUUUAUCUUUGAGAUUUGCUUGUCAUUGAGUUGAUCGGCCAUUGAAGGAAGAUUGGGUUCUGCAAAAGUACAAAGAGAAGAUGAUAAUGAUUUGUGUGUGUAAUGUGAAAAAUCCAUUUCCUAAAAUAACUACACAAAUAUCUAAAUGGUGCAAUACAAAUGUGUGUAAAGUGAAAAAUCCAUUUGCUCCUUAACACCUCAUGACAUGUAACAGUUAGAGCUCGACAUUCAUGGUUUGUUACUCUGUAACCAAGUAUAUAAAAAGCCCCUUUAGCACAGAACAAAAGUACACACAAUAUAAACUAAAAACUCUCAUUUUUUGCACUUAUACUUACUUGAAUGUCUAAAUAUUUACAUGUACCCCCUAACUUACAUUUCGACGGUCGUUAUUGUCAGACGCCAUCAUUAUGGUCAAAAAAGAUCAUGCAUAAUUUCCUUUUUUGAGUUAUAUGUUUCACUUUAGCUAUAUUAAAUUUGUUGUCCUACUCCUUUCUCUUCUCUGACAUCUCCCACCGGCCACCAACCCUUCUACCCCUCCAUGACAAUCCGAAGACCUUGAGACUUCUUGUUUCUAUCACUUAAAGUGCUGCUAGAAUUAAAAAGAUCCUUAUGUGGGUCGUUGAUUGAUUUAUGAAAUUUCUUUCUAAUCAAUGAGGCAAAAUAGUUUUAGCUAAUCUCCAAUCACCAGAAUUAUGAUUGUUAGUAGGCACAAUAUGUCCCAUGCCCAAAAUUUACAUAUAAGUUUCUACGAUACAUUCACAAAUUAAAUCAUUUAGGUAUAUUUGUUUUUUAGGAAACAAAAAAGAAGCAUAAUAGUGUGAUAAUUAUAUGCACGUGAAAAACAAUUUUUUUUUUUUUUUUUUUAUAAAAUGCACGUGAAAAACUUGUUUAACUUGUUCAAAGAUUAAUAUUAAAUUCUUUACAUAUAUGAAUUGGACAUAUAAAAAAACUUAUAGGCUAGAAUGACUCACCGACAGUAAGCGUCGGUGGAACAUGAAUAUCAGCUAAAACUUGUGAAGAGAGAAAAACAAAAAGAUUAAUACUAAGAAACAAAUAUGAUUUUGAGUAAGCCAUGUCACGUCUUGGUGAUGAUAUUGCAAUGGUUGAUAAUAAAUAAUAAUGUAGUAAUUCGUUUGUGUGUGUAUAUAUGGAAAGAAGUUGCUCUGUUUAUAGGGCCAAGAGUCAUGUUGAAGUUUAAAUUUAAAUUAAUGCAAAACUUGUGGCUAAAAAACCUUAUGAAAGGAUAUGAAUAUUAAUUUAGAAAUAACAGUUUUUUUUUUUUUUAUCAAAACACUAAAAUAUAAAAGACAGGAGAUGUCUGAACUAAUACAACAGAAUGACAAAGGAGAACCUAUGAAACGAAAACUAGAAAGCUUAUGACCAUUAUUGACCAUACCAACUGCUACAAGACUACUAUCCCAAAGUUUGUUUAAAAUGAUUGAUAUUUCUAGUUAUUUUAUUGCAACAACAAAAAACACAUUAUUCUAAGGCUGCCAAGUCAAUUUUGGAGGUGCCCUUUUGAGCACGGGUCCUUAUUUCAGCUGAGUUAAAUCAAGCAGACUUCACUUUUCUCACAGGCUUCUUCUAAUUUUUCUCUGCCUUAAUGCUCUCAUAUAGGCUUGGAUAGUGCUGCUCAAAGUAUGAUACAAUGGGUUCAACAUGGUCCUCUUCCACUGUGACGGCAUAGCCGUAGGAGUGAGCACCAUAGUGUUAGCCCACUUUUGAAAAACCUUUGGAUCCACAUUCUUGUUAGAAGACAUCAAUGCAUCUGAGAUGUGAUCAUAAUCCUCUUCUACCUCAUCCCCCAAAAUUUGGAAAGAAUCUGCACACUCUUUAGGGUUGUAGUGUAACGCCCUAUUUUAUUAUUUAUUUAUUUUAUUAAGUUUAGAGUCUUUUUUUAUAAUUUAAUCAAUUUAUUUUGAUAAGUGAUAUUUUUGUUGUGUAUGAUAUUUAUUAGUAGCCCCUAUUUUAUUAUUUAGUGGAGAAAUAUAAUUUAAAUAGAUUAAUGAGGCAUAAGGACAUAAUUGGAAUAAGGGAGAAUGUGUUAGGAGAGAUUAAGUGAGAAACAAACACAGUUAGUGAUUAUAAAUAUAUGAGACCAUUAGAGAAUUAGGGUUACAACAGAAUAGAGAGUCAGAAUACAGAAUACGUAGAAACUGCUUUUGGGAGAAAAAGGGAGAAAGUGAGAAGUUAGAUAAGAGAAGAGGAGAAAACUUGUAAAGUCCAAAUUCAAUCUAAGGUAAGGGUGGGACUAACCUUCUUUAAUCAUAAGUAUAUAGUUCUGAAAAAGGGUUUAAGCUUGUAGUUGUUAAUAGUUUUGAUGUUAUAGAAAUUAGGUUUUGAUUUGGAAUUGAUUGUUAAAAAAGUAGAUAAUUCAAUAAAUUAGUGUACAAAUUCAUGUUUUGGUCCAAGUUUUAUAUGGUUUUGAGUGCCUUUUCAUGUUUAGAAAUGUUUAGACGAGUUUCGGGAUCAAAUUUGGGCAUAGGGAAGUUAAAAAUGGGAUUUUUUGGUGAAAAAUGUCAAGUUCCCGAGAGAUAUCAGAUUGAGCUCGCCAUGGCGGAUGACCUAUUCGCCUGGCGAAAUGUUCAGUGACAGACUGCCUUGUUUCACGUUCUUGCGUCUGUUUCACACGUUUCUGUUUUGAGUUGGUCUUCGGUGUAAACAUGAAAGUUGUUGAUAAUUGUGUUAUCUUUCCAGUAUUCUUGAUUUGAUGUGAAUAUCUUUGUUGGAUGAUUUAAUAUUUAUUAUAUGUAUAUGUUGAUGAAUUUGAUGUUAUAUGAUGUUGUUCAUGAUUGAUGAAUUAUUAUAUGAAUGUAUAAGUUGAUGAAUAUGAUGUCAUUCAAGAUUGAUGAACUAUUAUAUGAAUGUAUAUGUUGAUGAAUAUGAUUUUAUAUGAUGUUGUUCAUGAUUGGUGAAUUAUUAUAUGAAUGUAUAUGUUGAUGAAUAUGAUGUUAUAUGAUGUUGUUCAUGAUUGCUAAAUUAUGAAGUCAUAAUGCGAAGUCGUUGUUGUUGUUGUUGUUGUUGCAUUGGUAGUGUCAAUGCAUAAUCAUUUUAAACGAAGAGGGCUUGAUGCUCUGUUAAUUUUAAGCGAAGAGGGCUUGAUGCUCUGUUAUUUAAUCGAAGGGAACUUGAUGCUCUGUUGUAGGGAGCUUGAUGCUCUGAUGGUACGACAUGCAUAUUAGCAUCUCUUGAGUUGUUAUUGUUGCAUUGUUGAGUUGUUGUUGUUGCAUUGCGGAGUUGUUGUUGUUGUUGUCACAUUGUUGUUGUUGUUAUUAUUGCAUUGUUAAAAUGAAGAUAAUUGAUGAAUUGUUGAUUGGAAUUAUGUGAAGCAUUGUUGAUGAUGAUUUGCUGUUGUUUUGUGUUGAUAAAUUCUUUUACAUUAUUGUUUAUUAGUGUUGUUAAUGAUGAAUUGAGGUUGUUAUGUGUUGUUAAAUUCUUUUAUAGAAUUAUAUGCUUAUUAUUAUUGAAUUUGAAAUUUCACUCAUUCUGUUUGAAUGUUGCCUCUACGUGGGUAAUGUGCAGAUAACCAGGAGUAAUCGCUGAUGUGAGUUGAUUCUCGUGUCGUCCUAGGAGUCGCUCUGAUACGUACGGGAUGGGGAUUAGCUUUAUUUAUUUUCCAUUAUUAUGUAUUCUUUUUAUGAAUUUAUUGUUGAACAUUUUUUAGAUGAAAUUAAUUAUAUUGAUGAUGUUGAUGUUAGUUUGUUUUUAAUUCAAGUUUAGUUUUAGUGAUAAUCACAAUCAGUGGUUAAUCACAGUUUGUUUUAGUUUGUUAUGAAGUUUGUUACAAGUUUGUUAGAGGUUAGCAGAUAAGAUCUAGAGUUUGUUACAUUGCUUGUGCUUCAAGCAACUUAGCUAGAUAUUGUAUAUAAGCUACCUCCUUUGUACAUUUUUGUAUAUAGAAUCAAUAAAGAUCAUUUACAAUUUCAUCAUAACUUUCUUCUCUCUCAAUUCUCUCUCUAAUUCACAUAAAACCUUAGAAUCAGAAACUGCUUCUGAACUGCUUCUGAACAGUGCUUCUGAACAGAGCUUCUGAACAAGCUUCCGCUUCUGGUUUUUCUGCGCUAUCAAAUUGGCAUCAAGAGCCUUUGGUUUCGUUCUAAGGGGUAAUCAAGAUCUUCAAUCACGCAAUUUAUAGAAAGAAACGCUGAAGGAAACACCAUGAAUGGUAGCAGCAGUUUCAACACACAUCUUCCAAUUCUUGAAGCACGUAAUUGGGAAAGAUGGAGUGCAGCGAUGAAGAAUCUGUUUGGAGCACAAGAUUUGCUUGAAAUUGUGCAGAAUGGUGUAGAUGAAUUAGCUGCGAAUGCCACUGAAGUGCAAAGGAACGCACACAAGGAAUUGAAGAAGAAAGAUUGCAAGGCUCUGUUCUUGAUUCAACAAAGUCUUGAUGAAGGAAACUUUGAAAGAAUCUCAAAAUCACUGAGUUCAAAGGAAGCAUGGGACAUUCUUUCAAAGUAUCAUGAAGGUGAUGAUAAAGUGAAGUUGAUUAAGCUUCAAUCUCUGAGAAGGAAAUUUGAGCUGAUGCAAAUGGAAGAUGAUCAGAAGAUUUCUAAGUACAUCUCUAAACUCAUCAAUCUUGUGAAUCAGAUGAAGGCUUGUAGUGAAGCUAUCACUGAUCAACAGAUAGUUGAAAAGAUUAUGAGGAUCCUAUCUUCAAGGUUUGAUUUCAUUGUGGUGGCAAUUCAGGAAUCAAAAGAUGUUAAGACAUUGAAGAUUGAGGAGCUACAGAGUUCAUUAGAAGCUCAUGAAUUGAUGGUUUCAGAAAGAAGCAAUGAAAGAUCAAUUCAACAAGCCCUGCAAGUUCAAACUAUCAAGAAGGAUGAUUAUGAUAAGAAGAACUUCAAGAAAGGGAAACUCUAAGGGAGGAAACUGGUCUAAAGGCAAGAACAAUGGAUCUGAUAAAGGUGAAUCUUCAAAGGAAGGAAAUUCUAAUCAAAAGAAGAAAGUUGAUAAGAAGAAGAUUCAGUGUUUCAAAUGUGAGAAAUUUGGACACUAUGCCUCUGAAUGUUGGUCUGGUAAAGGAAAGCAAUCAAAAAAUGAUGAAGAGGAAGCCAAAAUUGCACAAGAUGAUUUAGAUUCUGAAUCAUUAUUCAUGAUGGUUACAACAACUAGUAAUGAGAGCUGCAAUUCAGAAAGUUGGUUCUUAGAUACUGGUUGUUCUAAUCACAUGACAGGAAACAAGACAUGGUUAAGAGAAGUGGAUCCUGGAAGAAAUACAAAGGUGAAACUUGCAGAUCAUAGAGUCUUAAUUGCAGAAGGAAUGGGGAAUAUUGCUAUUGAAGGAAAGAAUGGGAAAGUGGCAAUAAUUGAAGAAGUUCUCUAUGUUCCUGGAAUGCAGUGCAAUUUGCUGAGUGUAGGUCAGUUCAUUCAGAAAGGAUACUCAGUUACUAUGAAGGACAACACCUUUAAGUUGUUUGAUAAUCAUCAAAGGUUAGUUUUGAAAACUCCUCUUGCAAAGAAUAGAACUUUUCAGACCAAUAUGAAAGCUGUAGAAUUGAACUGUUUAUCUGCUAUGGUAAAAGAUGAAGAUAGCUGGUUAUGGCACUAUAGAUUUGGUCAUCUCAAUUUUAGAGGUCUUAAUCAAUUGGUUGAUAAAGAAAUGAUUCUGGGAGUGCCUAAAACCAGGAAUUUGAAAACCCACUUCACAUCUACACCAUACUCAGAAUCUGUAUGGAUUGAAACAGGCACCAAGAGCUUGGAACAAGAGAAUUGACAGAUUUCUUGUACAGCAAGAAUUUGUCAAAUGCAAGUCUGAGUAUGGUGUAUAUGUGAAGAAAGGAAGUGAAGGUAAUCAACUACUCAUCUGCCUUUAUGUUGAUGAUCUGAUAGUGACUGGUAGUGAUAUGAAUGAGAUAGAAGCAUUCAAAUCACAAAUGAUGAGUGAGUUUGAAAUGUCAGAUUUAGGAAAAUUGACAUACUUUCUAGGCAUGGAAUUUACUGAAGUUGCAGAGGGAUUGAUAAUGCACCAAAAGAAGUAUGCAUCUGAUAUAUUGAAGAGGUUCAAUAUGAUGAGCUGCAAUCCAUCAUCAUCACCAGCUGAGACAAAUGUAAAACUGGUAAUGAAUGAAGAUGAAGAACCUGUGAAUCCUACAUUGUUCAAGCAAAUUGUUGGUUCACUGAGGUAUCUAUGCAAUAGUAGGCCUGAUAUUGCAUAUGCAGUUGGCAUAAUCAGUAGAUUCAUGAGUGAACCAAGAGUCUCUCACCUGCUAGCAGCCAAAAGAGUGAUGAGAUACAUCAAAGGAACACUGCAGUAUGGUAUUCUAUUUCCUAAAUGUUUGAAUGAUAGUUCUAUGGAACUGAUGGCAUAUUCUGAUGCUGAUUGGUGUGGAGACAGACAAGAUAGAAAGAGUACUUCAGGGUACCUAUUCAAGUUUAUGAAUGCUCCAAUUUCAUGGUGUGCUAAGAAGCAACCAGUUGUAGCAUUGUCAACCUGUGAAUCUGAAUAUAUUGCAGGGUGUAUGGCAGCAUGUUAGGCAAUAUGGCUUGAAAAUAUACUCAAAGAGAUGGAGAUAGAGGUUAGCAGACCUAUAGAAUUGCUCAUAGACAACAAAUCUGCUAUAAGCUUAGCAAGAAAUCCAGUUCUGCAUGGAAGAAGCAAGCAUAUAGAAGCAAAGUUUCAUUUUCUAAGGGAGCAAGUGAACAAGGGAGCACUGCAGAUUGUUCAUUGCUCUACUGAGCUGCAGCUUGCAGACAUAUUCACUAAGGCAUUGAAGGUUGACAGAUUCAACAAGCUCAGAAGCUUUAUUGGAAUGAAGGAAGUGGAAACUUGAAUUAAGGGAGGAUGUUAGUUUGUUUUUAAUUCAAGUUUAGUUUUAGUGAUAAUCACAAUCAGUGGUUAAUCACAGUUUGUUUUAGUUUGUUAUGAAGUUUGUUACAAGUUUGUUAGAGGUUAGCAGAUAAGAUCUAGAGUUUGUUACAUUGCUUGUGCUUCAAGCAACUUAGCUAGAUAUUGUAUAUAAGCUACCUCCUUUGUACAUUUUUGUAUAUAGAAUCAAUAAAGAUCAUUUACAAUUUCAUCAUAACUUUCUUCUCUCUCAAUUCUCUCUCUAAUUCACAUAAAACCUUAGAAUCAGAAACUGCUUCUGAACUGCUUCUGAACAGUGCUUCUGAACAGAGCUUCUGAACAAGCUUCCGCUUCUGGUUUUUCUGCGCUAUCAGUUGAGGCCUUUAGUGCCAAUUUUGUUGAAAGAAUAAGUAUUUUCCGUUGCGACGUUGUUGAAAAUUAUUGGAAGCAGAUGAUUUUAAUAAAGAGUGGAUUUUAACUCUAUUUGUGUUAAAUAUUAUUUUGAAGAAAGAAAUGUGAUAUUCUGUUUGUGAUGAACUCUGAUCUAUUUUAUAUUAUUUAUAUGUUGGGAAAAUGGGGUGUUACAUGUAGCAGAGAGGGGUUUGGAAGCAUGAAUCAGGGUUUGGCUUGAACGGAGUUUGUCACUUGUCAAACUAGCAAACAUGGUGGUUUGCAGGUUGUGUCAUAGGAGUGAUAUAAGGGUCCCUAGAUUUGUCUCAUGAAACAUAAGUGAUCUUGGGGAAUGACCGCCUCCCAGGUAUGCCACCCUAACCAAGUGAAGUUGAAGCUGAAUUGGGGAAUGACAUCAUCCCAAUGUCAGAAGACUUCGUAAGAUCUGAGGUAUCAUGAGACACAAGUUUGAUGGGGAUUAUUUCCUUAGAAACAAUGUCCUUUAACCUAGUGUUAUGAAUCAAAGAAACUUCUUCACCAUAAUGAGCAUUGAGUGGCUCAAUAUCAGCUAAAAGCUUGUUAAAAGAGCCAUCAAUAUCUUUCAUAUCAACCAAAGCCUCUCCUUGCACCCUGUCAGGUUCAGAAUUCAAAAUGGUGAAAUAAUUGUGCAGGACAAGAUCUUGGUCUUCCAAGCAAUCCUGUCCUCUAAACUAAAGUUCGCAUGGUCAUAUCGAUUGUUGUCCAUAACAUUAAAAGAAACAUCACUAGCUAGGAAAAGAGGUAUGGUUUGAACUAUCAGCUGCAACAAUGAUGGAAAAAGGUGCAUGCGGAACAGUUUCAGCUGGAUCUUCACAGGUAUUUAUUUGUAAUGUAGUCUCUAAAUUUGCUAUCUAAGAUCUAUUUGGUGCAUCUGAGCAUGAAACCUACAGAUUAUCCCCCAAUACUUUCUUAUUUAAGCUUACCAAAGGUUGAGUCUGAGAGUUCCUGGGAAGCAAAAUAUUACCUGACCAGGUAUUAGGUUAUGUUUUGUUAGUAGCCUGCGAGUGAGUGUGUUUAUUUAGCAGAUGAGCUUCAGGAACGUUAUUAACAAUCUACUUAUGAUGAACCUGCUUGGCGGCGUGAGGCUUCUUCCAUCCCAAGUCUAAGCCUUCAGGCACAUGAGCUGCUCCAAUCUUCUUACAUUGUUGAAUAGUGUGGCCAAUGAACUUGCAAUGUGAGCAAAAAGGAGGUUUCCUUUCAUACUGCACAGACACAUAAAACGCAUAACCCUCCCUUUCCACUAUAACCGAGUCAAAAAGUUGUCUUGACAUGUCAACAUCCACAAGCACCCUAGUGUAGAGACCAAAUAACCUAGCUCUAUUGGCAUCAUUAAUGAUCAGAGGGGUGCCAAUACCAGAAGCAAUCUCAAAUAAAGUCUUCUCCCUCCAAUAUAUAUAUAUUUGUUAUUCAAAAGAGGGAAGAAAGUUAUCUUUUCAAAGACUAAAUAUAUAUUUGAUUUCGAUGUAAACAAAGGGAUGAAAAAUAAAAGUUAUAUUUGAUUUUCUAAACUAUAUAACUUUUAAGUAAACAAAAAAAUAAAAUGGAAAGUGAAGUACAAAUGGAUGGUUAGACAAAAGUCACUCAGACUACUUAAACAAAGGGACAAAGCAAACAAGUAUAGAACUAAUGAUUAGUAGUAGCAAUAAUUAAAGCAAACAAGCCAACCAACAAAAAACUAAUGACCCCAAAUAAAGGUGACAUUUAACAUGGGAAAGGGUAAAACUUUUCGACCAUAGGACAGUUGAUUUUAACCAUGUGAUUAAAUAAUGAGCACAAUCUUAUCAUGCUCUCUCAAUAGUUAAAUUUUUCCUCACUAUCUUCUCCAACCAUUCUCUCUCCUCAAUGUCUCUCUCACAAACCCUUUAGCCAUUAAAUAGCCAAAAAUCCUAAUCCAGAUGACAAUGGAAGAUGCAUUCUGCUUUCAAAAAACAAAUCUAAAACUAAAACAGAACUGAACGAAAAUUAAACAUUCAAUCCUAGAUUAAUUUUCUUUUGAAAACCAUUAAAUUUUAGAUUAAGUCAUAUAAAUAAUAACUUGGUUUUGAUUCUUUUUACUUUCUUUUCUAUUAAUUCAUUCAUCCACUAAAACACAGAGACAUUGUCUCAGAUUAGCAAGAAUCUUGAAUGGAUUGUGUGUACGUUGGCAGGGACAGUAGCAUUUAUCACAUGAAAUUGUCUUUACGAUUUGUUUGAAUUUACGAGUGAAGAAGUUUUAAAAUUGGUUUUGAUACCCUUUGAUUCCUUCAGUGAGAUUAAUAGAGAUUUUCUUGAAGUUUUUCUCUUUAAUUCCAACCAGAAGUUGUGACCGGAAACUCAUCCACGGUGGCGUGCAGUGGCUCGCCGGUGUAGGAAGAAAGGCAUACAUCAAAUUGGGACGGGGUUUAAGUUUUAACUCAAAUUGAAGGUUGAAAAACAUACUUCUAGAAGAAAAAACAUACUUCGUCCUAAACAUGUUUAAGUUUUAAUUCUUCUGGAAAAAAAACGAUAUUGGGAUGGCAGGUUUGAUGUUGGUGGUGGUCAGUGGCGGAGCCAGGAAUAUUGUAAAGCCCAGACAAAAAAAAAAAUUGCAACACAUUUAUAGGGCGUACAUAAGAAAUUGCAAGCAAAUAAUAAAAAAUGUAAAGAAAUUGCCCAAUUUAUAGGGUUUUAUAUAAGAAAUUCAUAGGGAUUUACACAAGAAAUUGCAAAAAAUUUGGCCCGGAGCCCGGCCGAGUGCCCGGGGUCGCCGGGCCUUAGAACCGCCCCUGGUGGUGGUGGGUUAGUGAGGCAUGAAGAAGAAAGAAUAGCGUUGGAAGAUGGUGUAGAAGAAUAAUAUGGUGCUGAGAGACUAUGAUAAAUGUGUGUACUUUAUUUGAUCAAAUGGUUAAUAUUAAUUUUUCUAUGGUGGGAAAGUUUUACCCUUUUCCAUGUUAAAUGCCACCCCAAAUAAAACAUCUAAUAAUAGAAAUAGAACAAUAAUUCUCAUCAAAACUCGUUUAACAUGUCCAUUUUAUAUGUUCAUGUGCUUUUUCAAAUUUUUUGCUGGUCCCUUCACUUUAUCGUCACAUCCAGUGGUGUAUCCAUGACCCUAGUUCAAAGGGUGCAUACUUUUUCGUCCAACAAAUUUAAUACCCAUUUUGGAGUAUCCAUUUAUGAAUUAUACCCAAGUGCCUAUGAAAGUCCAGAUACUCCAAAAUGGAGAUGUACCUGGAUUGGAUGUGGAUGUAUAUGAUUCAAUCAAUCAACAUUAAAUAAAAUUUGUUUAGAGUUCUUUUAUUGAUGCAUUUGUUGAUAUCCUAACAUAUGAAUGAAAAUAGAAUAUGAUUUAUAGAUCACUUCACAAUUUUUAUUUUGAUCAUAUGUAUUAUUUUCUGUAAAUCGUGACUUUUAUGAUUAUAUAGUAUUGAAGAGUAAUUAAUGCUUUUUUUUCAAAUAUUUUACAUGCAUAUAAAUUUUACUAUAAAUAUUUUGUUAUCGUAUCUUAGCCAUAUCAUAUCCUAAAUUUUAAAAUUUUCGUGUAUCCGCGUACCCGUAUCGUAUCGUACCCGUACUCGUACUAUGUUUAUUUGCACACCUUCAGACCACAAUGGAUCCACCCAUGGUCACAGCUUUGACAAACUCCUCAAAGUUUAUUUGUCCAUCACCAUCAACAUCAGCCUCACGAACAUACUCGUCCACUUCUUCCUUGGUCACCUUGGUGCCGUGAUUUGUCAAGUAAUAAUGCAACUCAGAUGCAGAGACAAAACCAUUAUGAUCCUUGUCAGGCUUAGGGAAAGAUAUGAUAAAAUCUUCUUCGGUGAAAUCAAUGGUACCAUUUCCGUCAGCGUCAAACUUAUUCAUUGCUACCAUCAGGCCGAAAAACGUUGGGUUUAGGCCAAGCGACCGUAUUAGAGUCUGAAGUUCAUCAUUAUCAAUAGAAAAAUCUUGAUCCUUAUCGAGAAGUCUGAAAUACGCCUUUAUCUUUGAGAUUUGCUUGUCAUUGAGUUGAUCGGUCAUUGAAGGAAGAUUGGGUUCUGCAAAAGUACAAAGAGAAGAUGAGAAUGAUUUGUAUGUGUAAUGUGAAAAAUCCAUUUCCUAAAAUAACUACCCAAAUAUCUAAAUGGUGCAAUACAAAUGUGUGUAAAAAUCCGUUUACUCUAUAACACCUCAUGACACGUAAUAGAGCUCGACAUUGAUGGUUCGUUAAUCUGUAACCAAGCUUAUAAAAGGACCCCUUCAGCACAAAAAUAAAGUACACACAAUGUAUACUAAAAACUAUCAUUUUUUGCACUCAUACUGAUUUGAAUGUAUAAAUAUUUUCAUGUAACCUUAACUUAGACUUCGACGGUUGUUAAUGUCGUCUCCUUUCUCUUCUCUUCCAUCUCCCACCGGCCACCAACCCUUUUAUUCCUCCAUGAUAAUCCCAAGAUCUGGAGACUUCUUGUUUUAUCGCAUAAAGUACUAGUAGAAUUAAAAAGAUCCUUAUUUGGGUCGUUGAUUGAUUUAUGAGAUUUCUUUCUAAUCAAUGAGGCAAAAUAGCUUUAGCUAAUCUCCAAUCACCAUAAUUAUGAUUGUUAGUAGGCUCAAUAUGAUCCAUGCUGAAAAUUUACUCAGAAGUUUCUACGAUACAUUCACAAAUUGAAUCAUUUUGGUAUAUUUGUUUAGGAAAUAAAGAAGAAGCAUAAUAGAAUGAUAAUUAUAUGCACAUGUAAAACUUGUUUAACUUGACCAUAGAUUAAUAUUAAAUUCUUUACAUAUAUGCAUUUGGUAUACAAAAAAAAAUUAUAGGCUAGAAUGACUCACCAACAGUAAGCAUUGGUAAAACAUGAAUAUCAGCUAAAGCUUGAGAAGAGAGAAAAACAAAAAGAUUAAGACCAAGAAACAAAUAUGAAUUUGAGUAACCCAUGUCACUUAUUGGUGAUGAUAUUGCAAUGGUUGAUAAUAAAUAAUAAUGUAGUAAUUUGUGUGUGUGUCUAUAUAUAUAUAUAUAUAUAUAUAUAUAUAUGGAAAGAAGUUGCUCUAUUUAUAGGGCCAAGAGUCAAGUUGAAGUUUAAAUUUAAAUUAAUGCAAAACUUGUGGCUAAAAAACGUUCUGAAAGGAUGUGAAUAUUAAUUUAGAAAUAACAGUUGAAAAUGCAACAUUUAUUUAUACACUCUUUGAUUUGAGUUCUUGAUUGGGUAAAGACCCAUUUUCCCUAUGGAUUCUUUUGCUUUAAAAUAACAAAAUAACAAAUUAAGAUGAUUAGAGCUAAUUAUCAUCAAAUAACAUUUCUAGUACUAGAUUAAAAUAAAGUUAUUUUCUUAUUUUAUUUAUAACAAUGUGUAAUUUGUUAUUUUUCACAAAUGAUUGGGACUUUCGAGGGAAGAGCAAUGGAGGGUUUAUAAAAAAUGAAAGGAAGAAGUGGAAAGAAUGGAGUGGUAUAAGAGUGGAAGGCUUUGUGGGGUUUAGUUUUCUUCAUAAUACAAAAUCCCCUUAAUUUGGGGGAACUAAAAAUUUGUAUUGAAGGAGGAUUUUGGGGAAUUUGGAUAAGUUUUUCAAAUCUAAUCUAUGUUGUUAUAAUACUUUAAAGUUUAAAGUUAAAAAUACAUUAAUCAUAAGUAUUUAUUUACAAUUCUCUACAAAACUACACACUCCAAAAAUUUAAAAGAUUUUUCUAUUUUUUUCCUCUAAUCUCAUCCCUCAAAAACCAUUUUCUUCCCUUCCCCUUCAAACUUUCAAACAGAGUCUAAGAGCAGCAAAGCACAAGUCUUGGUAAUCACUUGCUUGUCUAUGUAUAAUUGUAUGGUGGGACGCCCACUUUAGCCGGACUUUGUGUCGUCUUGUCAGUCGUGCAUUUUAUUUGACUACGAAAUAAUUGUAUCAUGAUAUUUUAGAUAGCACAUAUUUAUAAUGUUUUUCAAUCAACCGUCCUACAUUUUUCUUUGUCCUCGGAUUAAUUUUUUAAAAUCAAGCAUUGUACAAUUCGAGUUAUGCACUCGUAGUUUAUAGUUUAAGCUCUAAUUUUUUAGAAAAUUAAAUGCUCUUAUAAAAAAAAAAAAAUACUUUAAAUAUUUUGGUUUAAUAAACUUGCAGGCCUACUAAUAUUUUGUUUUCAUUCAAAAAUUGAUGUGAUUUCAAGUGGUGUAAAGGGAAACAUGAUGUUUUACUAUUACAUCAUAAAAUUCAAACAAAUACAUCAUAAAAUUCGUGUCUCUUCUUCAAAAUGGUUUUUGGUAAUUCGUCAAGACAUCCUGGUAUGCACCAUGAGUGGAGGGUGGAUUAGGCAUGUUCUAGUGAUGUGUUGGGGGCACAAUGGCACGUUGCAAUUUUCUUCUUCUUGUGUAUGCUCUUGUUUGGGUGUGGCUUGGUUGUUGUUGGUUGGUUCACAGCUUUAGUUUGACUUUGUUUUAGUUCCUUUGGUUUCUCUCUCUUUUUUGUAGUUUUUUUUCCAUUAGCUUUCUCUUUUUUGUAUUGUUAUGUUGAUCUUUAAGCACUUCUUAUAUUAUGUAUAUAUUUGUUAUUCAAGAAGAGGGAAGAAAAUUAUAUUUUCAAAGACUAGAUAUAUAUUUGAUUUCAAUGUAAACAAAGGGAUGAAAAGUGAAAGUUAUAUUUGAUUUCCUAAACUAUAUAACUUUGAAGUAAACAAAAAAUUAAGAUGAAAAGUGAAGUACAAAUGGAUGGUGAGACAAAAGCCACUCAAACUACUUAAACCAAGGGACAAAGCGAACAAGUAGAGAACUAAUAAUCAGGAGAAGCAAUAAUUAAAGUGAACAAGGCAACCAACAAAAAACUAAUGACCCCAAAUAAAACAUCUUAUGAUAGAAAUAAAACAAUAAGUUUAACGAGUCCAUUUUAUAUGUUCAUGUGCUUUUUCAAUUUUUUUGUUGGACCCUUCACUUUAUCGUCACAUCUAGUGGCAUAUCCACGAUCCUGGAUCUAUGGGUUCAUACUUUUUCGUUCAACAAAGUUUUAAAUUUUUCUACGUAAAGACAUCACACAUUUUAUUCAUCCAAAAUAUCUCUAUUUACAUAAAUAGUCGAUGUUGCUUCAACUUUUAGAAUUUUAUAUAAUUUUUGUUACUAUAUCUAGAAUAUUAUAUUAAAAUAUAUAAUCACAUAGUUUCGUAAGGACUAAAAGUUAUCUAAUCCAUUAUAAUUUCUAGCACUUUGAAAUUGAAAGAGUAAUUUUAUCCAUAAUAGAUAGAAAACUAUCAUGGCUAUAGUCUCCAAAUAGAAAGGAAAAAAAAAUAAAAGAAGGGGAAAGAGAAAUAUGAAAGAAUUACAAAAAAGCAUAUAUGAAAAAUUUCUCAAAAGAAAGAAAAAAAAAACAAAUAUGAAGCUAUAUAUAUAAAAUUUGCAUCCAAAUGACAACAACAUCAUAAUAGCUAAACAGUAGAACAUAAUAUGCAGCAUCAUAAGGUCAUGUCAUGUUUUCGAUCCUUGGUUCUGCUUUUUGGAAUUUUCGUUAGAAAGAAAAACCAAACUUAAAACUAAGUUGUAAGGAUUUUGGGGGUGUAAGUCCAAAAUCUAUAACCUUAAUAUUGGGGUCAAAAUGUAAAAAAAAAUAAAAUAAGAUUAUUAGUGCAAAUUUUCAAAACCCAGGGUGUGCAUGUACUUAUGAAGUCCAGAUAGUCCAAAUUGGAGACAUACAUGUGUCGAAUGCGAAUGUAUAUGAUUAAAUUUAAGAUAUGAAUCGCUAUAAUUGUAUUUCGAUUAACCAAAUAAAAAUUAUAUUUUUGGUGGAUAAAAGUACCGAGAGAGAGGAUAUUCAAUCAAUCAACAUUAAAUAAACUUUGUUUAUUGUUUUUUUAUUGAUGUAGUUGUUGAUAUCCAAACUUAUGAAUGAAAAUAGAAUAUAAUUUUUACGUAGACUUUACAACUUUUAUUUUGAUCAUGUAUUAUUUUUCGUAAAUCGUGACUUUUAUGAUUAUAUAGUAUUGAAGAGUAAUUAAUGCUUAUUUUUUUAUCAAAUAUUUUGCAUGCAUAUAAAUUUUAGUAUAAAUAUUUUGUUAACGUAUCUUAACUGUAUCGUAUCCUGAAUUUUAAAAAUAUCGUGUAUCCGCGUACCCGUAUCGUAUCACACUCGUACUACGUAUUCGGGCUUCAUAGGCAGGAGCAAACCUUCACUCCACAGUGAAUCUGCCAAGUCUGACAAACUCCUUAAAGCUUAGAUGUCCAUCACCAUCAGAAUCAGCCGCACGAACAUACUCGUUCGCUUCUUCAAUGGUCAUCUUAAUGCCUUGAUUUGUAAAGUAACAAUGCAACUCAGAUGCAGUGACAAAACCAUUAUGAUCCGUGUCAGGCUUAGAGAAAACUAUGAGAAGCUCUUCUUUGGUGAAAUCAAUGGUACCAUUUCCGUCAGUGGCAGACUUACUCCUCGCUACCAUCAAGCCGAAAUCAGUUGGGUUUAGGCCAGUAGACCGUAUUAGAGUGUCAAGUUCUUCAUUAUCAAUAGAAACAUCUCCAUCCUUAUCGAUGAGGCUGAAAUACGCCUUUAUCUUUGAGAUUUGCUUGUCAUUGAGUUGAUCGGCCAUUGAAGGAAGAUUGGGUUCUGCAAAAGUACAAAGAGAAAAUGAUAAUGAUUUGUAUGUGUAAUGUGAAAAAUCCAUUUCCUAAAAUAACUACACAAAUAUCUAAAUGGUGCAAUACAAAUGUGUGUAAAGUGAAAAAUCUAUUUACUCCUUAACACCUCAUGACAUGUAACAGUUAGAGCUCGACAUUGAUGGUUUGUUACUCUGUAACCAAGUAUAUAAAAGAGCCCCUUCAGCACAAAAGAAAAGUACACAAAAUAUAAACUAAAAACUCUCAAUUUUUGCACUCAUACUUACUUGAAUGUCUAAAUAUUUACAUGUACCCCCUAACUUACAUUUCGACGGUUGUUAUUGUCGGACACCAUCAUUAUGGUCAAAAAAGAUCAUGCAUAAUUUUCUUUUUUAAGUUAUAUGUUUCACUUUAGCUAUAUUAAAUUCGUUGUCCUACUCCUUUCUCUUCUCUUCCAUCUUCAACUGGCCACCAACCCUUCUACCCCUCCAUGACAACCCGAAGACCUUGAGACUUCUUGUUUCUAUCGCUUAAAGUGCUGGUAGAAUUAAAAAGAUCCUUGUGUGGGUCGUUGAUUGAUUUAUGAGAUUUCUUUCUAAUCAAUGAGGCAAAAUAGUUUUAGCUAAUCUCCAGUCACCAGAGUUAUGAGUGUUAGUAGGCGCAAUAUGAUCCAUGCCCAAAAUUUAGAUAAAAGUUUCAACGAUACAUUCAUAAAUUGAAUCAUUUUGGUAUUUUUUUUUUCAGGAAAUAAAAAAGAAGCAUAAUAGUGUGUUAAUUAUAUUCACAUGUAAAACUUGUUUAACUUGACCAUAGAUUAAUAUUAAGUUCUUUACAUAUAAAAAUUUGACAUACAAAAAUAAAUUAUAGGCUAGAAUGACUCACCGACAGUAAGCAUUGGUGGAACAUGAAUAUCAGCUAAAACUUCAAAAGAGAGAAAAACAAAAAGAUUAAGACCAAGAAAUAAAUAUGAUUUUGAGUAAGCCAUAUCACUUCUUGGUGAUGAUAUUGCAAUGGUUGAUAACAAUAAUAAUGUAGUAAGUUGUUUUUGUGUGUGAAUAUAUAUGGAAAGAAGUUGCUCUGUUUAUAGGGCCAAGAGUCAAGUUAAAGUUUAAAUUUAAAUUAAUGCAAAACAUGUGGCUAAAAACCCUUCUGAAAGGAUGUGAAUAUUAAUUUAGAAAUAACAAUUGAAAAUGCAACACUUGCUUAUAUAGGAGUCUCUUUGAUUUGAGUUCUUGAUUGGGUAAAGACCCAUUUUCCCUAUAGAUUCUUUUGCUUUAAAAUAACAAAUUAAGAUGAUUAGAGCUAAUUAGAGAUAUGAAUUAUCAUCAAAUAACAUUUCCAGUACUUGAUUAAAAUAAAGUUAUUUUCUUAUUUUAUUUAUAACUAAUGUGUAAUUUGUUAUUUUUCACAAAUGAUUUGAAAUUGAACCAACAUCUGAAAUGAAUGAGGGUUGAAUACAACAACUGUAACACGACAUUAUCAGGCAACAACAGAAAUGCCAUUAUCCAACAAGAAAUACAUACAUAUCCACCCUUAGAAAAUAAUCAAUGACUAACGAGAGCUGAUAUCAAAUUCUCUCCAGCAACCAAUCUGAGAUCCAUAUUCUCUACCAUACAAGAAGCUACAUCUGUUCACAUACUUAUUCGCCUUCACUUAGUAUAGGUACUAUGAGUGGUUUCAUUUGUGCCAGAUAUACAAUUGCCCACCUGAUACAAGGAAAGACCAACGUGAGCACAAUGACAAACAUGACAUUAUAUGGCUAAUUGCAAGUUAGAAUGAAAAAUUCCUUUGUCUGAGAAUUCCAUCAAAAUGUCAGUUAAUCUCCACCUCCUCCUCCCCAAAAAAAAAGCCUCUAGACAUACCCGUUUUUACACUGAAUGAGGCAAACCUAUCUAUAGCCUAUACACAUUUUCAUCAAAUUGUAUCAAGCUCCUUGACGAUAUGAUGAAAUGUUCAUAAUGAUUAACAGAAACUCAAAUCGCUUUGUAUUAUCUAUUUAUAAGUUUAUUUAGUAAGACCACACAUUUAGAAUGUAAGUACAACAUAUUAAAAUGGCAAUGGGUAGUUUAAUCAGAGAAAAGCAUAAUCGUCAAACUAACUAGUGAUUUACAGACUAAUUACAAUUGGACAUGUUAUUAUAUACAAACAUCAAAAUACUGAACAAAGUGGCGAUGCCCCAAUCAAUUCCCUAAUAAGCAUAAUGCCCCUCUUAGAAGAGAUGUAAUAGCAACGCUCAAGCAUGUUAAACUAAAUUGCACUAAUAUUGGGCUCAUCCAUCUAUGAUGGCUUGACUUACAUUUAUUUUCACGGGGGCUGUUAUUAACCGGUUUGGUGGCUCAACUUGUUUGAGCUAAGGGUUAUAGAAGUUAAUGAGUUAAAAGACCACGAUUCAGGUCCCAGCUAAAAAAAAAACUAUGAAGUAUCUUUGAUAUGACCUAUGAAGUAUCUUUGACACGGACACCGACACAGAUAACAAUUUGGAAAAAUGACAUAAUUCAGUGUAAUCAUAAGUGUAGCGUUGGUGUCAAACACCGACGCGUGACCACCGCUUGGACACACCUAAUCCGAGGAGUGUCCGUGCUUCAUAGAAUAGAAUAUGACAAAAAAAACACAACAUCAUGUCUGAGUGUAAGGAACAUCUAUGGAGAGCAAACAGCUUGAACAACAUGAACAACUAUGAGUACUGUGUACACGUCAGCCUGUAAGCAUGAAGUUAUUUCAUGGGCAAGAAAUCCAAGAAUGGCAUGUCUUUUUUUUUUUCUAAGGGGUAAAUUCCUUAUCCGGGGGAAAAUAAACCUACGUGCACAAUUUAUAAUUGCUCUAAUUCCUUUAUUGACUUGAGACAAAACUAAAAGAAAACCGGACUUACAUCAUCCAGCAGCAUAUUGUCGCAGUAAUGACCAGAGUUAGGUGAAAUCUGCAAUAAAAUAAGAUAUUAGAAAUAUGUCAAGGAGAAUAAUGCAUGUCAUAGAGCAUAUUGGCGUCACUAAAGAAUCUGAAUACUGAGCUUUACAAAACACAAUAAAUUGAAAUGAACAUUUGAUGACAUCAUGGGUUCGUUUGGUUUGUAACAUGUCCAUAAGUUGUUUUCAGCUUAUUUCCAUAAGCUCUCCCAGAUAGCUAAUGAGAACUACUCAUAGCUUAUAUGAAAACAAUUUGACUUGUAUUUUAUCUUUUGUAAUAGAAACAGCUUAUACGCAAGCACUUAUAAGAUAAACGUUUAUGCUAUAAGUGCUUAAUUGAGUUGUUUAUCAAGCACACCCCGUAUCAACUUUUAAUGAAAAGUUGAUAAAAGUAACAACGAAGAUGAUAAAAAACAUGAAUACAAGUGCAUCUCACUUAUGUCUAACUAUAUAUGUCAUUUUAUUUUAGUUUUAUACAAUUAAACAUAGACACAGAACACAACACUGGUAAAUAAUUUGAGAAAAAUAGAAGAGACUGUAAGCAAUCACCAAUAUCUAUGUCUCUCAAAGACACCCUUAAUCUAAUCUGAUCACCCAAAUAGUAGAAAAUAAGAAAAUGCACUAGUCUAUAUAUUAUCAUUGAGUUACUCAAAUAAAAAUGUUAAGCAUUAGUCAAUUUCUCUAUAUAUUUAAAAAUAAAAACUCCAACAAAAAUCAGAGCAACGAACUCUUCAACAACAAGCAAGCCUUAUCUCACUAAGUGGGGUCGGCUACAUGGAUCAAAUGACACCAUAUUCUUCUAUCCAAUAUCAUAUUUCUAUCCAAUUCAUUAAUAUCAAAAUUUUAUUUAAUAGUUUCACUCAUAGUUUUCCAGGUCAUCUUCU
rnacentral:lncRNA from 1 species